rnacentral:lncRNA from 1 species
CCUCUGGGUUUCUUUUUCGCUCUCUUCAUCAGUGAUAAUCAUUACCAUGAAUCUUUACAUUCCCGUUGGUAAGUGUUAUUUCUCUUCAUUCUUGAUACCAUGAUGAACGCUUUGACUUGUUAAUCCAUAGUCCUUCCCUAAUUAAUUGAAAUGGUGAACAUCUAAGAUUUAAUUUCAUUUCAGACAUUUUAGGGUUUCAUAUGUUUGUUUUGAUUUGAGGGUUUUGGGUUGGGUUUUGACAAUUUGAAGGUUAUGGUUAGAAAUUGGGUGAAAAGAGGAAGAAAAUAAGGGUAGAAUGAGGAGGUCUGGUGGUGCCCCACCGCAUGAAGCAAUUUCUGGUACAGCGGGGCGAUUUUUGGAUGCCGCGAAAGUUAGAGAACGAAGAGAAAGAGGGUUUAAGAGAGUAUUUGUGAGGAGAGAGCAAAAGGGAAGCGAAAUGAGGUCUUUAUGCUUUUUUAGACUUCUCUCUCUCACUCUCACUCUCUCACUCUCACUCUCUCCCCCUCUCUCUCUCUCUCUCUUUCUCUCUCUCUGAUGGGUUGCUCACAUUUGCCCUUCAUACCUCUUGUUAGAUGGAAACGUGUGUAGUGUUUGGACCAUGGUAUUGGUUGACUAGCUACAAUCAACCUUGAAUCUGAUAUGCAUAUCAUCAGUGUGUUAUAGUGUACAUACACAUCACGCCUUUAGACCAGUUUGACCAUGUUUUGAUCUCCACAUCCAAUGGCCCUCUUAGUAAAGUCUUUGACUCUAAUAUUGGGCCUCUUCAACUUUGAGUCAACUCCUUUUUUUAUUUUAUCACCCCCUUAUUAAUGUUGCAAGCGCCCUUUUGGGUAUUUUCUUUGAUUUAUUUUUUCUGACCCAUUUUUUUUUGUUGCUUAAUUUAACUAAUCGUGGAUUAGAUUAGUUAAUUUUUUUAAUAGAUCUGAUAGUUUGGUUAAUGGACCUAAUUAGCUAUAGUUUGUUUAAUCAAAUUUAAGUGUGUUUAUUUAUCUUAUGGACUUAGAUCUUUUUUAGUAUUUGUGUCGUUAUAUCUAAUUUUAUAUUUUUAUUCACAUUUGAUAAAGAUGUAAUAUUUUCUAGACUUAUAAUUUGUUUUAAUUAACUAAUCAUGAUAGUUAAAAUUUAAUUAAUUUAAUUAAAUAAUGAGAUUAAUUUUUUAUUAAUUAAUUAAAAAAAUUAAAUUUAAUAAACCUAAAUAUUUAAUUAAGAUAUAGUUUAAUUAAUUAAUUGCAUCCUCUUGUUUAAUUAUCAUAUUGAUCAUAACCAUGUAUCCCAUUUUGGCUUAAAAUCAUAUUUGUUUUAUUAUCCUAUUUUGAUUUGCUAUUACUUGUUUAAUUUGAAAUUAGAAUGAAUGAUAAUUUUAAUAUAUAAAUGAUUUUCUAAAAAUGUAAAAAACCUUGGUCCAACGCCAAGUAGAUUUUCAAAAUCCAAUUCCAAAUCAAACCAUUUUCAUAACUCAAUUCAUGUCCGCGAACGCAAAUAAAAACCUCAAUCAACAUCAAACGUUUUUGUCCAAUUCAAAUCAAAACACUUAAUCAUAGUUAAACACCAUUUAAAAUGAUGAAAAGGGAUAUGGUAUAGAGUCUUUUAUUCCUCUCCUCGAUUACUUGGAUACGAGUUGCCUUACUCGACAAUUCGAGCAAUCGUCAUCCAUUAAAAAACUUGUAAUAUGAUUCAUCUCAUACCAUUUUUCAUAAUCAUCUUAAACAAACCCAUUUUUCGUAAUAACUUUGACGAAAAAAGGAGGUGGUUUAGAGUCUUCUACUCAUUUCCUCAAAUACUUGGAUACGAGUUGCCUUACUCGACCAUUCGAGUAUUCAUCGUUCAUUCAAAAUACAUCAACCUUAUAUAAAUCCUUUUACAAUUAAGGAUGAAAAGUAAGAUGGUCUAGAGCUUUUUAUUCCUCUUCUCGGUUAUUCGAAUACGAGUUUCCUUAUUCGACCAUUUGAGUAAUCGUCAUCCAACAAAAUAUUCAACCGAUCGAUCCUAUUUUCUCGCCCAGUGCGAUCCAACUUUCUUUCUAAAACGAGGUUGCUUUAUCCAUUUUGUCGCAUUACGCGAAAAACCGGCGAGAAAACGAAACGACAGAGCCGCCACCGUGCGUUAUUUAUCCCAAAGGAGGGAAAGGAAACGCUCGAAGUAAACCUGGAAAAGACAUGGUCUCGCUACCAGAGAAAGAUGGGAUUGGGAGUCGGUUAUGCGAAGGGAAGGUAUUAGCACCCCUACGUAUCCGUCGUACUCGACGGGAUCCACGCUCAGAAAGAAAAGAAGAAAGGUUGCUAAAACUGCUCACAAACUGCACAAGGUUGGAAGGAAACACCGAAAGACAAAAGAAACGGGACUCGGUAGGAUAUCGCAUCCUGGGCCUACGUAGUCUGUCAGACACAGACAUCAGAGUCGAUGUAGUUCGGGAACAGGGGAAACGUGCUCGCUAGGAUGUCGUAUCCUAUGCAUACGUAUCUUCUCUAACCAGAGAAAGAAUCAGAGCACCCAUAGCUCGGCUAACGCACGCCGAAACAAAACCCACACAGGAAACCGACUGCCAAUCGCUGGACUUACGUCAGACUCCACACAAACGGGCAAACAUGGAAACCGAAGGCCAAUCGCUGGACUUACAUCAGACUCCGAACCAACAAACACACACAGGAAACCAACUGCCAAUCGCUGGACUUACGUCAGACUCCAAACACAACACAAAGGGGUUGAAAAAGAAAAAGGGCGCCCGGAGAGAUCAGCUCAUCUCCUGCCUACGUACCUCAUCUGGUAUGAGGAUCAGGGCGACGUAGUUCCCCUAAACAGGGAAAGAACUUCUAACCUAACCAGAUACAAAGGGAGACACAAACUACUAGGGAGACUACGACUCGAGCCUAGAAGUUGUCAUGCAUACGAUCCCUAUGUUAAGGUUUCUAUCUAACUUGCACAGGAAGCAAGCUAUCCUAACACAGCACAAUCAAUCAAAAGCACAAAAAGCAAGCACAUACACUAUAUGCAAACAGAUGGGCUCAUACAAGGUUAGGCUUUAGUCAAGGGGUCAUGUCAACCUCAACAAACAAGCCACUGGAAUGGGGUAUGAUUAGCUCUUAACCCUAACAUUGAGAGUUAGGGUGAAGCAGAUGAAAGGGAGAUGAGGGUAAGACCUCACAGCUCUUAUCCCUGGCCUGGGAGAGCUUGACUCAAAGUAGAAAGUGUGGGAGUUCAGAAUGUAGGAACUCUUCUCCACAAAUGACUGACACAACAUGAUCUUGGGUUAUUAUCCAUAAUGCAUCAACCCAAGGUAUGUGAGUAAAGUGAAUGACACAACUGAAUAGCAGGGGAUGGAUUGCACAUCCCUUUUAUCUUCCAAUUGCCUCUUAAGAGGUCUUUACCUGCUUGGCACAAAAUCAAACAAACACAAGCAUUGCCUCUUAAGGAGGGCUUCAGACAGGUGCCUGCCCACAUAACAGGACAGGUCUUCCAGACAACAUAAAGUCAGAGAGUUAUACCUAAGUGGUAAGCAAACCACAAGCCAAGCUAGGCAACUCAAGCAAUGAGUUAAAGCUACUAAAGUACCUGUGCAAACAACCAGACAAUCAGUACACAGUUCAAACAAACAGACAACAGUCAUCAGGCAAUAAUAAACAGACAAAGCAAUCAGGCAACAAUGAGCAAGGCACAAGCACAAGGGGAUUUGUUCUAAAAACCUACAAAACAACACAAUGUUAGCCAACAUCAACCAAUUAAUCAAACUCAAAUGAAUGAGCCACUCCAAUCAUGACAAUGUGCAUCUGAACCUGAAAUCCACAAUCCAAACAGUGAGUCCAAACCACUAGGUCAAAGCCUAGGGUCAAAAGAGGGUCAAACAUUCAAAACAGAACAUGAAAUUUAACAUGAAUCAUCCUCAUUCAAUCAAGAACAAAUCUCAAAAAGUCCCACAUCAAAAUCAUUAAGCAUAUUCAUUUCAUGAGCAAAACAUGGCAAGGCAUGCAAAUGGUGAUCACAUUGAGACAUCAGAAGAAACAAAUGCACAUUAAAUCAAAAAUGACUCAAAUAAUCUUGGCAAAAUUCAUGAGUGAACAGGACAUAUAACAUGAUCAUCCCACAAAAAAAUAGAGGCAUUGGACAUCAUUAGGCAUGGCAAUCACAUAGCAUAAUCAAGACAAUCACAUGUGUGACACAAAUUGUCACACCAAGUUAGCAUAAUCAUAAAACAGAGAUGGAUCAUGGGAAAAAUCUCAAACCAAAGCCAAAACAUCACUCAACAUGUCUAGAANNNNNNNNNNNNNNNNNNNNNNNNNNNNNNNNNNNNNNNNNNNNNNNNNNNNNNNNNNNNNNNNNNNNNNNNNNNNNNNNNNNNNNNNNNNNNNNNNNNNNNNNNNNNNNNNNNNNNNNNNNNNNNNNNNNNNNNNNNNNNNNNNNNNNNNNNNNNNNNNNNNNNNNNNNNNNNNNNNNNNNNNNNNNNNNNNNNNNNNNNNNNNNNNNNNNNNNNNNNNNNNNNNNNNNNNNNNNNNNNNNNNNNNNNNNNNNNNNNNNNNNNNNNNNNNNNNNNNNNNNNNNNNNNNNNNNNNNNNNNNNNNNNNNNNNNNNNNNNNNNNNNNNNNNNNNNNNNNNNNNNNNNNNNNNNNNNNNNNNNNNNNNNNNNNNNNNNNNNNNNNNNNNNNNNNNNNNNNNNNNNNNNNNNNNNNNNNNNNNNNNNNNNNNNNNNNNNNNNNNNNNNNNNNNNNNNNNNNNNNNNNNNNNNNNNNNNNNNNNNNNNNNNNNNNNNNNNNNNNNNNNNNNNNNNNNNNNNNNNNNNNNNNNNNNNNNNNNNNNNNNNNNNNNNNNNNNNNNNNNNNNNNNNNNNNNNNNNNNNNNNNNNNNNNNNNNNNNNNNNNNNNNNNNNNNNNNNNNNNNNNNNNNNNNNNNNNNNNNNNNNNNNNNNNNNNNNNNNNNNNNNNNNNNNNNNNNNNNNNNNNNNNNNNNNNNNNNNNNNNNNNNNNNNNNNNNNNNNNNNNNNNNNNNNNNNNNNNNNNNNNNNNNNNNNNNNNNNNNNNNNNNNNNNNNNNNNNNNNNNNNNNNNNNNNNNNNNNNNNNNNNNNNNNNNNNNNNNNNNNNNNNNNNNNNNNNNNNNNNNNNNNNNNNNNNNNNNNNNNNNNNNNNNNNNNNNNNNNNNNNNNNNNNNNNNNNNNNNNNNNNNNNNNNNNNNNNNNNNNNNNNNNNNNNNNNNNNNNNNNNNNNNNNNNNNNNNNNNNNNNNNNNNNNNNNNNNNNNNNNNNNNNNNNNNNNNNNNNNNNNNNNNNNNNNNNNNNNNNNNNNNNNNNNNNNNNUAUGAUGCUUGUGGAUGUGAUUGGUGAUGAAUUAGAAGCUCAAAUGCACACGAAUUCAGUUCAAUUUUCCAAUGCCAUGGAUGCUUCAAGCUUUGAAUCUAUCUCAAUAUGCCACGAGUUUCUCUGAAUCCACGUCCAAUUCUACUCAACAACACCUCAGGAACAUGAAUCAACCAAUAGAAAGUGCUUUUGUUUGAAGAAAUUUGGAAAAAGUUUGAGAGAAAUUUUUGAUGAUUUUCUUGAAUCCAGAUCUGAAAUGUUGCUAAUGAUAAAAAACAGUUAUGAUUAAGUAUAUAUACUUCCUACUAAUCAUGUUUAAAACCAACUUAAGCCUAAUGCCAAUGUGAUUAGUAAGUUGGAAGGUGUUUGUACAAAAAUGAGUUUUUCACUUCAUGCACCCCAUGCACGUGAACAAUGUCAAUUCAAGGCCCAAAUCCACUAAAAAUGAGUUCAUGCAAGGUUGUGAAUUGGUUUGGUAUGCAUAUGUUCCACAAAAUGAAUUUUAUGCAAUUUCCUUCAAAAAUCUUCAUGAGUGAACCAAAGACCAUGCAAAUGAAAUUCAUGUCAAGUAAUGGUAUGCUUGGAAAGUACAUGUUAUAAGGAUCAAAAUGCAAAAAGAACCACUCAUUUUGAAGUUUUGGUUUGAAAGUUAUGCUCAUUUGAACUUUGAAACACACUUUGCCAUGAUUGGACCAUAACUCCUCAACCACACAUGAGAAAUUCAUGACCUUAGACUUUUUGGAAACGGGAGAGAAAGAUCUUCAACUUUCAUGUUGGACAAAAUUUCAUUUGAAGCUUUCUUGAUGAUGUAAUCUUGAGUUGAAGUUGGUCUAAAACCUUUCCAUUUUUGGAAAGUUCAAAUUAUAGGUCACCUGCUAUUUUUGGAAAGUCUUGACCUGACUUCAAAUUCUUCAGUGUUGAUGUUUGAAAUGUCAAAUGAGACUUGUUUGAACAUGAAUGAGUCAUCUCUAACCACUUCCCACCUUCAAAUCCACAGUUGAUUUUGCAGUUGACUUCUGUUGACUUUUGUGGGCCUCAGAUGAUUUGCACAUGGACUGAUGAGCUCUGAGCUUUCAACACUUGGCCAAUAUUGCUUCAAAGUGAUCCUUGGGUCACAUGAACUCAUUGUACCAACCCUAGGGCUUUGAUCUCAUUGAAAUUGCCUUGUUGCCUAUAUGCCACAGUCGGAAUCUCUGACGUCCUGCCAUGCUGACAAUGUAGAUGGACUGUAUGACGUGCAAUGCUAAUGCAAAUAGUAAGAGUGAUGUAAUUGGACUCCAAUUGAGAAAUGACAAUGUAUAUACAAUGGGAAGGUCAAAUUUGCGUGCACAGCUUGCCCCUAUUCAAUCAACUGGGAACCUGAACGGAUGAGAGCAACGGUUGUCAGACCUUCAAGGUAAACAGGGAUUGAAUACCAAAGAACCGUAGAAAUUUGCACUCUGCGGGGAAUGAACAGGGUAUUGGCCACAGUAACCAUACAAGACGUUUACCGACGACUCUACUGGGGAGUUUGAUUUUUUUACCAAUGGAAAGAUACAGCCAGACGUCAACGGACAACUAGGAAAAACUCGACAUUUAUCGACACCAACAGAGAGGUGACCAGUCAUCAAUGGAUGAAUGGGAGGAAGAAAUAUAACCAUACGUCAACGGACGAACGGGAAAAACUCAACGUUUAUCGACACCAACGGAGAGGUGACCAGUCAUCAAUGGAUGAAUGGGAAAGGCUCGCCCAGACGUCAACGGACGAACGGGAGAAGCUCGACGUUUAUCGACACCAACGAAGAGGUGACUAGACAUCAACGGAUGACCUGGGGAAAGAGAUACAACCAUACGUCAACGGAUGAAUGGGAAAAACUCAACGUUUAUCGAAACCAACGGGGAGGUUACCAGACAUUAACGAAUGACUGGGAAGACUCGACCAGACGUCAACGGACGAAUGGGAGAAGCUCGACGUUUAUCGACACCAACGGAGAGGGUGACCAGACAUCAACGGAUGACUGGGACAAAUACAAUGUUUGCCGACAUCGAAAUAUGAUGCGUACAAAAGUGAAGCAAGACCAGACAUUUUGAGUAAGACUCGAUGUUUACCGACACCGAAACAAUGGUGUUUACCGACACUAAAGAAAGGACGACCAGACAUUUACCGAUGAUUGGGGUGAGACUCGAUGUUUACCAACACCGAAACAAUGGUGUUUACCGACACCAAGGAAAGGACGACCAGACAUUUACCGAUGACUGGGGAAAGAAAUGCAACCAGAUGUCAACGGACAACUAGGAAAAACUCAACGUUUAUCGAUACCAACGGAGAGGUGACCAGACAUCAACGGAUGACCUGGGAAGGAGAGAGAUGUUACGAACAUCGGAAGAUGAUGUUUACCGACAUCAAAAAGGGAAGACCAGACAUUUACCGAUGACUGGGGUGAGACUCGAUGUUUACCGACAUCGAAAGAUGAUGUUUACCGACAUCAAAAAAGGACGACCAGACAUUUAUCGAUGACUGGGGUGAGACUCGAUGUUUACCGACACCGAAACAAUGGUGUUUACCGACACCAAAAAGAGCACACAAGGGUGCAAACAUGACACUUACCGGUAUCACAGGGACGACAUCCUCAUAUGUCAAAGCAAAGCUAAACACUUGCUGGGGAACUCACUGGGGAGAAUCAAGCUUCCUUUCACGGACGGGUGAGAACUAAACGUCUCUGGGAAGUUAUCAAUCCUGAAUGCUGUCAGGAGCAACUGUAGCAAAUGUGCCGUACAGAUGUUGAACAAUGAUCCGCCUCUGCCGGGGAUAUGAUCUGAUUAAGUUUGACACAUGAAUGCAUAUGUUUGAAUUUUUCUAUGGCGUAAUGCUCCAUAUUGAAUGGAAAUGCUACGCGAUUUGAGGAUGCAAUGAUCACUACAUGCAAGAUGCAGAAAGAUGAAAACUUCCUGCUGAGGAGCAAACGAACUGCUCUGCUGAGCACACAAACAUGAAUAGAUUCUCCAAUUAUGUGGGGAGACUCUGUCUGAGGAAUGCUCUGUGGGGAAAAAGCACCAACUUAUCAAACGUGCUGGGGAAUAGCAUCGCUGCUGAAGAAAGAAUAGAUCCCACCGGGGAUAACCUUCACCAAAUCCAAUCCACUCGGGGACUCUGCUAGGGGAACAACUAAUGCUCGCCUCUGCUGAGGAUGUCUGCCAAUCCAUAGGCAGGAUAAAAUCUACUGGGGGUAACUUCCACCGAACCUGAUCCACUCGGGGAAUUUGCUGGGGAAAACCAUCAACACAACCCUCUGCUAGGGAGAUCUGCUAGGGAAAACAUUCACAACCCUAGUGGGGAAAGGUAUAACUCUGUUGGGGAAAUAAUAAACCAGACCAUGCUGGGGAUAGACAUCCACAACUCUGCCGGGGAAAAGCGUUCACGACCAUGCUAGGGAUAGCAGUACUUCAAAUCCGGCUGCUGAGGAAUACACUACUCACUGAUACCUCCGCUGGGGAUACAACAACCUUCCAACUCGGUGGGGAUUAACAAUCUUCCAACUAGCCGGGGAUAAACCCACUUCCAGGCCUGUUGGGGAAAGAAUAGCCUUUGAUCCUGCUACUGAGGGACACAUUAUCCACAGACGCCUCUGCAGGGGAAAAUAGUUCUGAUAGCUUUCAGACUUGCUUGGGGAAACAACCACUUUCAAGUCUGCUGGGGAAACAUCCUCAAUCCUGCUGAGGAAUUCCUGAUCUCACACUAUUGGACAGUGCUGACAACAUCCCUGAACGAACCGUGGCUUAUCUGCUUCAGCCAGGAACCAAAAGUAAUAGCCUGCAAAACAACAAGGCAAACAUGCCCCAAGGGGAUUGCAUAGACAAAAUACACCCAAGUGUCCUCAACAUUCAAAAUGAUUUUCAAAUGUUUUAUCUUUCUGCACGUUAUUGUCUAGCCUUCAUGUUUUUAUAUGCAAUGUUUAUCAAAAAUUCGGACGUUUUUGCAAACAAACAGUAAAAAAUAAAACAAGAUAGCAGAUUAUCUGAAUAACGCUUUUAUUGAUUGAAAAUGGGCCUGAAAAGGCGAAUACAUCGGAACAAUUCCUUAGAGAAGAGGUGAUUUGCGCAAUAAAAGGUACCAAAAUCUAUCCUAAGGCAGAGUGAAUACGGCAUCCUAGUCCCAAUGUCUGUAUGACUCACAGAUCACAAUUGUCUCCCCGAAUUCCUUGCUUUUGUGAGCAGAAUGACUGGACCGAUCACAUCUCGAGAUGGUAAGCAUGAAGCGCGAUAAGACAGAUAUCAACUGUAUGCGCCCUGUUGGGCCUGAUCGCCCCUUUUCUGGGCAAUCCACCAGCCGGGAUACCCUUUUUUUGCCUAAGCCGCCCUUGGGCGCGGUUUUCGACUUUACCGGUGUAGCAAAUUGCUUUCAUUUGUAUCCCUAACUUUGCGUCCGAACCUUUUUCUCUCUUUUUUUUGUCGCUGCGGGAUGCCCUUUUUGGCUGGACUCUUUUACGUGUGCUUUUGUCCAGCGGUCAAGUUAUGCGGAAGUAUUUUGUGACUACAUUCUUGAGUUAACAGGGGAAGCGGACAGUCGGUCACCACCUCAUAGUGUUAAGCCAUUCAGGCUCCACAGAGAAAACCUUCUUAACAACAUAUGGACCUUCGUAUUAGGCGUCCACUUGCCCCUGUUUACUGUACCGGGAGGAAGGAUCCUCUUCAAAACUAGAUCACCAGUCUGAUAGCUUCGAGGACGCACUUUCUGAUCAAAGGCUCUCUUCAUUCUUCUCUGAUACAACUGCCCAUGGCACACAGCUGCUAAACGCCUCUCUUCGAUAAGGCUCAACUCGUUAAACCUUGUUCGAAUCCACUCAGCUUCAUCAAGCUUAACAUCCAGCAAGACUCUCAGAGAAGGGAUCUCCACUUCAACUGGUAGGACUGCUUCCAUACCAUACACAAGGGAGUAAGGGGUUGCCCCGGUCGACGUACGUACUGAGGUACAGUACCCAUGCAAAGCGAAAGGCAGCAUCUCAUGCCAAUCCUUGUACGUCACAAACAUCUUCUGCACAAUCUUCUUAAUAUUCUUGUUUGCCGCCUCUACAGCCUCAUUCAUCUUCGGUCUGUAAGGAGAAGAAUUGUGAUGUUCAAUCUUGAAAUCUUUACAAAGCUCUUUCAUCAUCUUGUUAUUGAGAUUCGAACCAUUGUCAGUGAUGAUUCUCUCAGGAACCCCAUACAUCUUCGGUCUGUAAGGAGAAGAAUUGUGAUGUUCAAUCUUGAAAUCUUUACAAAGCUCUUUCAUCAUCUUGUUAUUGAGAUUCGAACCAUUGUCAGUGAUGAUUCUCUCAGGAACCCCAUAACGAAAGAUGACCUCCUUCUUAAUGAACCGGGCAACCACUUGUUUGGUAACGUUAACAUAGGAAGCUGCUUCCACCCCCUUGGUGAAGUAAUCAAUCGCAACCAGGAUGAAGCGAUGUCCAUUGGAAGCAGUAGGCUCAAUCUUUCCAAUCAUAUUAAUUCCCCACAUGGCGAACGGCCAAGGCGAAUUUAUGACAUUCAGAGGGCUUGGUGGUACAUGCACCUUAUCAGCAUAAAUCUGGCAUUUAUGGCACUUCCGAGCAUAUUUGAAACAAUCGGAUUCCAUAGUCAUCCAGUAAUAACCGGCUCUCGACAACUUCUUAGACAUUGCAUGACCACCAGCAUGGGUACCAAAAGAUCCUUCGUGCACUUCCUGCAUCAACAUGUCUGCUUCGUGUCUAUCCACGCAUCUGAGCAGAAGCAUGUCAAAGUUUCUCUUGUACAGCACAUCGUCCUGAUUCAAAUAAAAGCUUCCAGCUAGCCUUCUCAGGGUUUUCUUGUCGUUCUUUGACGCACCUUCAGGAUACUCCUGGCUUUUGAGGAAAUUCUUGAUAUCAUAGUACCACGACUUCUCAUCCACAACAGACUCGGCCGCAAACACAUACGCAGGCCUCUCGAGUCGAUUCACCGCAACAUGUGGCACAUGAUUCCACCAAUGAACUUUGAUCAUGGACGACAAAGUAGCCAAGGCAUCAGCCAUCUGAUUCUCAUCCCGAGGGACAUGAUACAACUUCACCUUCUUGAAGAACGUCAGUAUUCUUCUGGUCUAAUCUCUGUAAGGAAUCAAAUGUGGUUGAUUAGUAUUCCAAUCUCCAUUGACCUAGUUAAUCACUAGAGCGGAAUCUCCAUAAAUGUCAAGAGUUUUGAUCCUCAGAUCGAUGGCUUCUUCUAUCCCCAUGAUGCAGGCUUCAUACUCAGCCUCGUUGUUGGUCACGUCAAAAGUCAGUCUGGCAGAAAAAGGUAUAUGAACACCUUUAGGAUUGAUAAGCACUGCCCCAACACCGUUACCGUUCACAUUCACAACCCCAUCAAACAUCAGUGUCCACUUGUCAUCAGGAUCCGGUCCUUCCUCGACAAGAGGCUCUUCACAAUCUUUGAUCUUAAGAUGCAUGAUGUCUUCAUCAGGGAAUUCAAACAUCAUCGGCUGAUAAUCAUCAAUCGGUUGCUCGGCAAGGUAGUCUGACAGAAUACUACCUUUGAUGACCUUCUGCAACGUGUACUGGAUAUCAUACUCAGUUAGGAUCAUCUGCCAACGGGCAACACGUCCGGUGAGAGCCGACUUCUCAAAGAUGUAUUUCACUGGAUCCAUCUUAGAAAUCAACAAAGUGGUAUGAUUCAACAUAUACUGCCUCAGUCGGCGAGCAACCUAGGCCAAAGCACAAUAAGUUUUCUCAAGCUGUGAAUAUUUGAUUUCACAGUCGGUAAACUUUUUGCUAAGGUAGUAUAUGGCAUGCUCUUUUCGACCAGACUCGUCAUGCUGUCCCAAUACACACCCCAUUGAGUUCUCAGUCACUACAGGACUUAAUCAGAGGUUCUCCCCAGGAAACUGAGUAUAGGAUUGGAGGUUUUUUGUAAAUACUCUUUUAUUUGUAAAAGCUUCUGACCAGCAUCAUUCCACCUGAUUGCUUGAUUCUUUCUUAGCAAUUUGAAUAUCGAUUCACACGUGGCAGUUAGGUGAGAUACAAACCUUGCAAUGUAGUUCAAUCUCCCUAAAAACCCACGAACUUGCUUUUCAGUUUUCGGUUCAGGCAUCUCUUGAAUAGCUUUUACUUUUGCUGGAUCAACCUCAAUCCCUUUCUCACUGACAAUGAAACCCAACAGCUUCCCGGAUCUCACCCCAAACGUACACUUGUUUGGAUUCAGCCUCAAUUUGAAUUUUCUCAGUCUAUCAAACAACUUCUGCAGAUUUACCAGGUGCUCCUCUUCUGUCUGCGACUUCGCAAUCAUAUCAUCCACGUACACUUCGAUCUCUUUGUGCAUCAUGUCAUGAAAGAGAGUCGUCAUAGCCCUCUGAUAGGUAGCACCAGAAUUCUUUAGCCCAAAUGGCAUCACCUUAUAGCAGAACGUGCCCCAAGGUGUAAUGAAUGUCGUCUUUUCCAUGUCUUCUGGCGCCAUCUUAAUCUGAUUAUAACCAGAAAAACCGUCCAUGAAAGAGAAAACCGAAUGUCGUCUUUUCCAUGUCUUCUGGCGCCAUCUUAAUCUGAUUAUAACCAGAAAAACCGUCCAUGAAAGAGAAAACCGAGGAUUGAGCCGUAUUAUCAACCAAUACAUCAAUGUGAGGUAAUGGGAAGUCGUCUUUCGGACUCGCUCUGUUCAAAUCCCGGUAAUCGACACACAUCCUGACUUUGCCGUCCUUCUUCGGCACGGGAACGAUGUUGGCCACCCACGGGGGAUAAGUAGUCACUGACAGAAAACCUGCAUCCAACUGUUUCUGAACCUCUUCCUUGAUCUUGACAGCCAUAUCAGGGCUAGUUCUAUGAAGCUUCUGCUUGACUGAAGGCCAAUCUUCUCUGAGAGGUAAUCUAUGCACCACAAUAUCUGUAUCCAACCCAGGCAUAUCUUGAUACGACCAGGCGAAUAUCUCCACGUACUCUCUCAGCAUCUCAAUCAACCUGUUCUUGACAUCUUCCUUUAAAGCAGCCCCGAUCUUGAUCUCUUUUCUGGCGUCCUCAGUACCCAGGUUAAUGAUUUCCAACUCCUCCUGAUGAGGUUGGAUGACCCUCUCCUCCUGCUUCAACAAUCUGACCAAUUCUUUAGGGAGUUCACAGUCUUCCUCACUCUCCUCUUCAGCUAGGUAGAUGGGAUUAUUGAAAUCAUACUGAGCCAUAACAAAACUGUUCAUAGUGGAGUUCGUAAGAUCGAUUCUGCAUGUUUAAUGCUUUGUUUUAGAAAAAGAGUUCAAGAAAGUCACAAAAACAAAAACAUUGCCAUUUUUAUUGUUUUGAAAAAUGAAAAACAGAAAGAUAGGGAUCACAAAAUUGUUUGCAAAACGUCCUUUAUUAAUGAUAUCAUUGAAAAAACAUGAUGAGGCCCUACAAUGAACCACUACGCCUUGGGCAGAACGUAGGGUUUUGUGCAAAAUGAAAAAGAAAAGAAAAUUACUCUGUUUGAAGAGUAACUUGGACCACAUCUUCUGCUGUCCAAUUAUUGAUCGUCUCCCCUGGUGCACACGGGCGAACCCAGUUGUCCAGAUCACAAUCGCUGUCACAGUCUUCACCACCGGUUGCAAAGACGUCACCAUGAUUCAUCAGCCCAGCACUGGUAAAGGUACUCGGCCCUUUCUGCUCAAUCUGCUCCGCCUGCAGAGGUUGAUAACCAAUAACGAACUUGUCUUCAUUUGACGGGCAGGUCCACCAUCUUGCCCCAGCCUUCUGCAUUGCCCGAGCUGACAACCUCCAUAGCCUGCUUGUAUGAUGCAAUUGAGGCACUUGGCUUCUUCUGCUCAGCAAAAGCCACCCUCUCAAGAGCAACGGUCUCGAAUGCCUGGCAUAGAGUUUCAUGGAUCUCGCCAUCCACCUCUACAUACUUGAAAGAGGAUAGGUGACUCACCAGAAUGUCCUUUUCACCACACACAGUCACAAUCUGACCGUUCCAGACAUACUUCAGCUUUUGGUGGAGAGUUGACGAAACUGCCCCAGCCCCAUGGAUCCAGGGACGUCCCAAUAAAUAACUAUAUGCUGGCUGAAUAUCCAUCACAUAGAAGACAAUACUGAACACCUCCGGGCCAAUCUUCACCGGCAACGUGACUUCACCAAAAACAGACCGUUUGGAUCCAUCAAAUGCACGAACGAUAAGAUCACUCGGAGUAAGGACAACCCCUUCCACAUCUAUCUUGCUCAGAAUCUUCUUGGGCAACACAUUCAAAGACGAGCCAGUAUCCACCAACACAUGUGACAAUACUGCGCCUUUGCACUCCAUAGUGAUAUGCAGGGCCUUGUUAUGAUUGCGGCCUUCAGGCGUCAGAUCCAAAUCUGUGAACCCCAUACCGUGCCUGGUGCUCACAUUAGCAAUAACCCCUUCCAAUUGGUUGACAGAGAUCUCUGGAGGCACGUAAGCCAGAUUCAGCAUCUUCAGCAAGGCAUUACGGUGUGCCUCAGAGCACAAUAGCAAUGAGAGUAUGGAAAUCUUGGACGGAGUCUGAUUCAGCUGAUUUACAAUCUUAUAGUCACUCUUCUUUAUAAUCUUCAUGAACUCCUCCACGUCUUUCUCAAACGACCCCUUAGGCGCCUCCUUCUGAACAGGUUCUUCAUCAACCACGGCUUGCUUACCCUUAGCUUUGGCGAGUGCCUCAGCAUUGUUAUCUCUCAACGGCUGUGGUGCAAACAGACGACCACUCCUUGUGAAAUCUCCUGGUCCCCCAACAUUAUCCACAACUGGACCCACAGUCACAGGAGCUCUAGGUGGCAUUCCAAUCGUUACAGGAGCUUGAUUAACUGGCCCGACCUGACUUUCUGCCCUUCGGUUGCUGCGAUAAGCAUUAUCAUACUUCCACGGCACAGCCUUACUAUUCUCAACAGCCCUUCUGCCCGAAGCAACGAUAGUAGUGGGAGCACUGACAGUUACUGGAGCAGAAAUGGUAACUAAAGUACCAACAGUUGUGGGUGCACUGACAGUUCUCUGGCCACGUCCCUCAGACGGUUUGAAAUAAAUGGUGACAGUUGACACCACCCCACGAUCCUUCACGGACCGACUAAACUGCAGAUAGCCCUCAUCCAUCAAACCCUGGAUACUAGUCUUCAACUUGUCACAACCAUUUGCUGAAUCUUCACAGUCUGAAUAACCCUGAUCACAGCCCGGGAACACUCCCCCAUUCAGCAGACGAUCCUUCACAACAAACAACGGGGUCUGAAUCUCAUCAAUACUGACCACCAAGUCUUCAGCUUCCCCACCUUCCACAUUGUUCACCCUAUGCGCACCAUGCUGAGGCAUAGGAUUGUUCACAACAUUCGGCACAGGAGCAAAAUUGAUUGUUUUGGCGUCAAUUAAGUCCUGGACCUUAUGAUGGAAAGCCCGACAAUUUUCAAUAUGGUGCCCCGGUGCACCAGAGUGGAAAUCACAACGAACGUUGGCAUCAUACCCAGGUGGUAUCUUUGUCAACGGAGCCAUCGUACGCAACUCAACAAACCCAAAUCUGAGCAAUUCGGGCAGCAAUUCAGCGUAUGUCAUCGGCAACGGGUCGAAACGUCGAUCCGACAUUCUCUGUCUAAGCUGAUACGGACGUUGCUGUUGUUGUUGUGGCGGUUGUUGAACUCUCUGUUGUUGCUGAGGUUGACGUGGUUGAGGUGCCGAAAUGGUUACAGCAGCAACCUGGCGAUAUUGCUCUCUGUUCACACUUCUUCUGUGUUGCACAACAUUGGUCUCACCCUCCCUCCUACGGGGCCCCCCAGAAAACGGCUUCUUUGAAGAUGAGGAACCAGCAUCCUGAAUCUUCCCAGCUUUGAUAAGGCUCUCUGUUCUCUCCCCACAAGUUACAGCAUCAGAGAAGCUACCGAAUGGGCAACUCCCCAUCCGGUCCAUGAAUACACCUUGUAAUGUCUCGAUAAACAUAUCAGUCAACUCCCUUUCCAGCAUAGGGGGUUGCACCCUCGCGGCUAACUCACGCCAUCUCUGGGCGUACUCCUUGAAACUCUCUCCAGAUUUCUGACAUAGGCUCUGCAACUGAGUCCGACUCGGCGCCAUGUCCAUAUUAUGUUUGUAUUGCCUCAAGAAGGCUUCACCCAGAUCUCUCCAACUUCUGAUGGAUUCUCUUUUCAGCUCCAUGUACCAAUCCAAGGAAGCUCCAGACAAGCUAUCCUGGAAGAAGUACAUCCACAUUUUCUCAUCGUCUGUAUAGGCAGAGAUCUUUCUGUAAUAUGCUUGCACAUGGGUGCAAGGACAAGAAGUACCGUUGUAUUUGUCAAAAGAAGGCGCCUUGAACUUGUAAGGAAUCCCCAAUCCUUCCACUAGACCCAUAUUAGUGACAUCAAACCCCAAAGAGUUCUGACACUCCAUGGCUCUGAUCUUCUCAGCUAGGGCAUCAACCUUUCGAUCCCUCUCUUCGACUCUUACAACCUUAUCAUCUUCACUGAGCAGGGUAAACAUGUCUUCCUGCCUGUCAACCAACGGAGCAGGAUGGCGAACGGGAGCACGGGUUGCUCUGACAUUAACAGUCUCUGCAGCAAGAGGCUGUCCAUUAAUCCUGAUACCUCUCAACUCAUCUCCCACAGCAUAAUCAUUGACGGGAGCAGCAGCAAUAACACCAUCAUUCACAAGAACACCCACUGGCGAAGCACGACUAGGAGGUGGUAGUACAGCUUCUUGUCUCUGGGCUAAGGCACGCAGCUCCUCUUGCCCUUGAACGACCCCUUGCAUCAUUGUCAUGAACUGGGCCAUGUUAGCCCUCAUCUCAGCCAACUCAGCUUGCACUUGGUCCAUAUUUCUCUGUUGAUUCAACCUCGUUGAGUAGCGGUGCGGACGUUAAUCAGCUAUCCUGCCUGACACAGGAACCAGAGUGAGAAGUCUCGAUCAAGAACACCUGUAAUGCAAAAUGAUAUGUGUAUGAUGUUUAUGAUGCGUAUGAUGCACAUGAUAUGUUCAUUUCUCAGGCAUUCAAGAGCCCAAUUCAUCUUUCAAGAAAUGGCAACCUGCAACAAGAACAACACAGAAGCAACAUACACAAUAUAAUGAGCACAAGGUGAAACAUCAACACCCUCAUCUAUAGACAUGAGCAACAAGGACCAUAUAACAAUAUUCAGAUAAAAAUCCAAAUGAUCAGAGUACCACAAUGAAUCCCAUCCAACAAGCCUGGAGGUGAUUCUCAACAUAAACAACAGAGAUACAAGCUAAGACAAAUGGCUUCCAGGAAUGAGAGUCUUCAGAUACUGGCACUGGUCUAUCAACAGGUCACAUUCUGAACAUUCUAAACAUUCUGGCAGAGGGGUGAUCCCCAGUUGAGUCACCAGCUGUCGCAUUACGCGAAAAACCGACGGGAAAACGAAACGACAGAGCCGCCACCGUGCGUUAUUUAUCCCAAAGGAGGGAAAGGAAACGCUCGAAGUAAACCUGGAAAAGACAUGGUCUCGCGACCAGAGAAAGAUGGGAUCGGGAGUCGGUUAUGCGAAGGGAAGGUAUUAGCACCCCUACGCAUCCGUCGUACUCGACGGGAUCCACGCUCAGAAAGAAAAGAAGAAAGGUUGCUAAAACUGCUCACAAACUGCACAAGGCUGGAAGGAAACACCGAAAGACAAAAGAAACGGGACUCGGCAGGAUAUCGCAUCCUGGGCCUACAUAGUCUGUCAGACACAGACAUCAGAGUCGACUUAGUUUGGGAACAGGGGAAACGUGCUCGCUAGGAUGUCGCAUCCUAUGCAUACGUAUCUUCUCUAACCAGAGAAAGAAUCAGAGCACCCGUAGCUCGGCUAACGCACGCCGAAACAAAACCCACACAGGAAACCGACUGCCAAUCGCUGGACUUACGUCAGACUCCACACAAACGGGCAAACAUGGAAACCGAAGGCCAAUCGCUGGACUUACAUCAGACUCCGAACCAACAAACACACACAGGAAACCAACUGCCAAUCGCUGGACUUACGUCAGACUCCAAACACAACACAAAGGGGUUGAAAAAUAAAAAGGGCGCCCGGAGAGAUCAGCUCAUCUCCUGCCUACGUACCUCAUCUGGUAUGAGGAUCAGGGAGACGUAGUUCCCCUAAACAGGGAAAGAACUUCUAACCUAACCAGAUACAAAGAGAGACACAAACUACUAGGGAGACUACGACUCGAGCCUAGAAGUUGUCAUGCAUACGGUCCCUAUGUUAAGGUUUCUAUCUAACUUGCACAGGAAGCAAGCUAUCCUAACACAGCACAAUCAAUCAAAAGCACAAAAAGCAAGCACACACACUAUAUGCAAACAGAUGGGCUCAUACAAGGCUAGGCUUUAGUCAAGGGGUCAUGUCAACCUCAACAAACAAACCACUGGAAUUGGGUAUGAUUAGCUCUUAACCCUAACAUUGAGAGUUAGGGUGAAGCAGAUGAAAGGGAGAUGAGGGUAAGACCUCACAGCUCUUAUCCCUAGCCUGGGAGAGCUUGACUCAAAGUAGAAAGUGUGGGAGUUUAGAAUGUAGGAACUCUUCUCCACAAAUGACUGACACAACAUGAUCUUGGGUUAUUAUCAACAAUGCAUCAACCCAAGGUGUGUGAGCAAAGUGAAUGACACAACUGAAUAGCAGGGGAUGGAUUGCACAUCCCUUUUAUCUGCCAAUUGCCUCUUAAGAGGUCUUUACCUGCUUGGCACAAAAUCAAACAAACACAAGCAUUGCCUCUUAAGGAGGGCUUCAGACAGGUGCCUGCCCACAUAACAGGACAGGUCUUCCAGACUACAUAAAGUCAGAGAGUUAUACCUAAGUGGUAAGCAAACCACAAGCCAAGCUAGGCAACUCAAGCAAUAAGUUAAAGCUACUAAAGUACAUGUGCAAACAACCAGACAAUCAGUACACAGUUCAAACAAACAGACAACAGUCAUCAGGCAAUAAUAAACAGACAAAGCAAUCAGGCAACAAUGAGCAAGGCACAAGCACAAGGGGAUUUGUUCGAAAAACCUACAAAACAACACAAUGUUAGCCAACAUCAACCAAUUAAUCAAACUCAAAUGAAUGAGCCACUCCAAUCAUGGCAAUGUGCAUCUGAACCUGAAAUCCACAAUCCAAACAGUGAGUCCAAACCACUAGGUCAAAGCCUAGGGUCAAAAGAGGGUCAAACAUUCAAAACAGAACAUGAAAUUUAACAUGAAUCAUCCUUAUUCAAUCAAGAACAAAUCUCAAAAAGUCACACAUCAAAAUCAUUAAGCAUAUUCAUUUCAUGAGCAAAACAUGGCAAGGCAUGCAAAUGGUGAUCACAUUGAGACAUCAGAAGAAACAAAUGCACAUUAAAUCAAAAAUGACUCAAAUAAUCUUGGCAAAAUUCAUGAGUGAACAGGACAUACAACAUGAUCAUCACACAAAAAAUUAGAGGCAUUGGACAUCAUUAGGCAUGGCAAUCACAUAGCAUAAUCAAGACAAUCACAUGUGUGACACAAACUGUCACACCAAGUUAGCAUGAGUAUAAAACAGAAUGGGAGCAUGGGAAAAAUCUCAAACCAAAGCCAAAGUGUCACUCAACAUGUCUAGAAUCCACACACAAAAUUUCAGAAGCAUUGGAUAAGAAACAAGCAUUUUAUGAUCAAAUGAAUAAGGCAAUAUCAUGAAUGGAUACAUGUUCAAACACCCUAGGACAAAUCAAGUUUUUAACCAAGCACAACUUGCAAUUCAAUAAUCAUAAAAAACUAGACAAGAUAAGGAACACAAUGGAAAAAAUUUGAGAUCAAUUGGAGCAUUUUUCAUUUUUAUAUGAUUUUUUGAAGUGGAUGAAAGAUUUGAAAAUGAAAAUGGAGCCAAAGUAUGAAAUGUGGAGGGAAAAGGAAUAGUGCAUGGCAAUUUGAUAAAGUCCUCUCGCCCGGAUUCGAACUUGGCACAAAUUCAAACCUGGCGCGCGCCUAAAACGACUGUGUUUUGCUUCUAAAACCCUAAGCGCGUCAGGAAACCGUUGUUGUAUCAUGGAAAACCGUGGCCUAAACAAUAUUCGUAGCUAAUUCCAAAAGCUCGUAGCUAAAUCCUAGUAAGUUCGUAGCAAAACCUGGGAAUUGCAUGGUGUUCAUAUGGAACGAUGAAGAUCAUGAAGAUCUUCAUCUGGAUUUUCCAGAAAUCACAAAAAAUGUCCAGAAAUGAAAAAUAAGCAUAGCAAUCGAUUCAUCUUUCCACAUACAUCAAGGAUCCAUGAUUAAUUUGCUUUAAAACACCAUAACAAAGCCAAAUCGAAGGAAAUCAAAAUCAACAUCAAAACUUCAAUUGAACAUAACUCCAUGGAUAUAGCAUCAUUUCACUCGAUUUUUUCACCAGUAUCAUCACCAUUCAAGGAUCUACAAGAACAUCAUAACAAUUUGCAAAAUAAAAGAGGUCGAAUUCUAACCUGUUGAAGAACAGCAACUGGAAUUGGCUCGUUUCAAGGUUUGUGAAGGUCCAGGAAUCUUUUAUGAUGCUUGUGGAUGUGAUUGGUGAUGAAUUAGAAGCUCAAAUGCACACGAAUUCAGUUCAAUUUUCCAAUGCCAUGGAUGCUUCAAGCUUUGAAUCUAUCUCAAUAUGCCACGAGUUUCUCUGAAUCCACGUCCAAUUCUACUCAACAACACCUCAGGAACAUGAAUCAACCAAUAGAAAGUGCUUUUGUUUGAAGAAAUUUGGAAAAAGUUUGAGAGAAAUUUUUGAUGAUUUUCUUGAAUCCAGAUUUGAAAUGUUGCUAAUGAUCAAAAACAGUUAUGAUUAAGUAUAUAUACUUCCUACUAAUCAUGUUUAAAACCAACUUAAGCCUAAUGCCAAUGUGAUUAGUAAGUUGGAAGGUGUUUGUGCAAAAAUGAGUUUUUCACUUCAUGCACCCCAUGCACGUGAACAGUGUCAAUUCAAGGCCCAAAUCCACUAAAAAUGAGUUCAUGCAAGGUUGUGAAUUGGUUUGGUAUGCAUAUGUUCCACAAAAUGAAUUUUAUGCAAUUUCCUUCAAAAAUCUUCAUGAGUGAACCAAAGACCAUGCAAAUGAAAUUCAUGUCAAGUAAUGGUAUGCUUGGAAAGUACAUGUUAUAAGGAUAAAAAUGCAAAAAGAACCACUCAUUUUGGAGUUUUGGUUUGAAAGUUAUGCUCAUUUGAACUUUGAAACACACUUUGCCAUGAUUGGAUCAUAACUCCUCAACCACACAUGAGAAAUUCAUGAUCUUGGACUUUUUGGAAACGGGGGAGAAAGAUCUUCAACUUUCAUGUUGGAAAAAAUUUCAUUUGAAGCUUUCUUGAUGAUGUAAUCUUGAGUUGAAGUUGGUCUAAAACCUUUCCAUUUUUGGAAAGUUCAAAUUACAGGUCACCUGCUAUUUUUGGAAAGUCUUGACCUGACUUCAAAUUCUUCAGUGUUGAUGUUUGAAAUGUCAAAUGAGACUUGUUUAAACAUGAAUGAGUCAUCUCUAACCACUUCCCACCUUCAAAUCCACAGUUGACUUUGCAGUUGACUUCUGUUGACUUUUGUUGGCCUCAGAUGAUUUGCACAUGGACUGAUGAGCUCUGAGCUUUCAACACUUGGCCAAUAUUGCUUCAAAGUGAUCCUUGGGUCACAUGAACUCAUUGUACCAACCCUAGGGCUUUGAUCUCAUUGAAAAUGCUCUUGUUGCCUUGCACAGUGGAAUCUCCUGACCAGUCUUGCCUGAUACAAUGUAAUGGACUAUGCAAUGCUAAUGCAAUGUUAAGGUGAUGUUAAUGACCUAAAAAUGAAAUGUAUAUACAAAUGGGAGGUGCAAAUUUGAGGUGCUACACAUUUUGACGUGAAAUAAACAAAGGUUUUAAAUUCCAAGAGCAAGCAACAAGCAAAGAUUUAAUCACUUAAAAUGUCUAAAUCAAAACUCUUUGAAAGCAAUCAACCAACACGUAGUUUUCUAUGCAGCACUAUGUAGCUUUGAAUUCCUCAUUGGAUCUGAGGGUACGUAGGAACGAGACCCACAAUCUCGUCAAGCACCAUAAUAAACACAUUUUUGUAACCAUUUUAUUUUCCUUUUGCAUAUUUUAUCUUUAAAAAAAACAAUUAACACAACUAACAUUCAACCACAAGUUUAGCUAAAAGGUUCCCGUUGAGUAUAAGAGAUGUGAUGAGUGCUAAUACAUUCCCCUUGUGUAAUCGACUCCUGAAUCCAAAUUUGGCUGCGACAACCAUUUCAUUCUUCUUUUAAAGGGUUUUUCCGUGAAACAUUUUUCUGUGAGCGUGCGAACUCUUCGUUAAGGAACGUAUUUUUCGAGAUGCGAGUGUUGGUGACUCUGCUGGGGAAUAUGCUUUGAGGAAAAGAAAUCCAAGCCUAAUUUGAUUAAAUUUGUGAUUAAUUUGUUAACUUUUCUAAUGGUUUACUUAUACUUGCAUUAUUUUAUUAUGUGUUAUAACUGUGGUGCAUUGGUACUAUUAAGGAUCUUUGAUUAUUGGUACUUUGUGAGAUAGGAUUUCUACCCGAGUCUAAGGAAAACCAUAAGAUUAAGAUGGUGAUUAUGCAGUAUUGGUAUGCGAGGUUCAUUCCUACUUUGGGACGAUACGAAGACCCCACAUAGGGUAGACUCUCUUUGAGAUGUUAUUGCUUAACGAGCCUUCGUCAUGUCGAUAAUGUUUUCAAGUUGGAUCUAUAACUAUAUGGAUCUCUUUAGAACCUCGAAGUUGAUGGUUGUAUAGUGUUGGCAUGUGAGGUAUCUUUCUCGCUAGGACUAUAUGAAAACCUCACCUAAAAGAGAUCGUCUUAAGGGUAUUAUUAUACAACGAGCCUUCGUCAUGGCGGUAAUCUUCCCAAGAAAGAUCCAUGACUUUAGGAAUCUACCAACCGUAAAGCCUAUCUAUGGGGUUUCUAUAAUUAGUGAUACCAAUUAUUUACCGAUUAUUCUGACCAACAUGGGAACUAAAUUAUACAUGUGAUCCUGAAACCACGCAUACGCGUUGCACAAUCAUAAACAUAACAUUUUAGUUUUAUUUCCAUGGAAUAUGAGAAUCACAGUUGUAGUCAUUCAGAAAGUAUGGGAUACGGAAAAAUGAAGCAUGUACUCAUACAAAUUCAAAGAUCCUCAGUUGGCCAAUCUGCAUUAGUUGGUUUCCCGGCUCCAUCCGAUAUACAAAAUCAACUUUGGGAAAAACUAUGGAAAUUUGCUUGGUCUCUUAUGUCAAAAGAUGGACCCCUUAUCCCUUUUGACUUUGGCUUAGUUUUAUGAUCCUCCUAUGAGAUUUUUCACAUUCCAAGAUUUUCAUAUAGCAUCCAUGUUGGAAGAGUUUGAACAUAUUGUUGGCAUUCAUAUGAAGAAAAAUUCGUCGUUUUUAGGUGUAGAAGAGUCUCUACAGAAUGAGGUCAUAAUUUAUGCUCUUCACAUGCAUAAGAGGGAUAUUACUUCUAAUUUGGAAGUCAAAGGAAAUACUAAUGGAUUAUCUCUCAAAUUCAUAAUAUAGAAAGAAUCCACCUUUAUGAAUGCUCAGAGUUGGGAGGCUUACUAUGUCGUGAUUGCAUUGGCUAUCUAUGAAAUCAUUCCAUUCCCAAACUUGGACAAUUUUGUAGACAUGACUUCCAUUAGCAUCUUCCUCAUGGAGAAUCCAAUUCCUAACAUGUUAGCUAAUGUGUAUUAUUACCUCAGUUGGAGGCAUGAGAAGAAGGGAGGAAUGGUUUAUUGAUGUGUUUCAUUGAUGUAUCAGUCGUUGCUAACUCACCUUCUAAAGAAUGGGACCUUUUAUGGAGAAAAGCACGUGAGUUUACCUAAAAGGACGGGAUCACUCAGAGCAAGUGAUAUCACUUGGUACUCCAAAGAGUAUGUUGGCAUAAAUAUUGUAUUCAGUUAUGGGGAGUUCCCCAACAUACCACUUAUUGGGACUCGAGGGCACAUUAAUGCUAAUCUAGUCAUAUCCUUAAGACAACUUGGAUACCCAAUUGAGGGUCCUCCUGAUGAGAGAUUAUUGGAAGCCUUCUUGUUACGUGACCUUUGGGUUGGGGGUCCUGUGUUAUCCAAAAGAGUUAAAAAGGGAUGGGAGACAAUCGUCAAGAAACGAAGGGUUAAUUUGGGAAGGAAGAAUUGUAUCACCAAAGAACCUUAUCUUCAAUGGAUAAGGGAAAUGGUGAAAUUGAUCAAAAUGCCCUUCAGUGUUAAAAUACAUGUUCCUCCCCUAGAGCCUAAUCUUACUCAUAUCCCUAUUGAGGAGACAGAAGAACUUAUAGCUACCAUAGUCAGGCUCACCAAGGAGAGUGAAGAGCUACACCAAAAACUUUGCAACAUCUCCAUAGAAAAGGAUGAGCUCAAGUUUAGUCUUGGAAAAAGAGGAAAAUAACUUGGUGAGAGUCAGGGGACUCCCUAAAAAGAAAGAGGAAAUAGGCAUAAGGUUAAGGAUGACUUAGACUCAUUGGCCAUCGAGCUUAGUCAAAGAAACGAAGAACUCUGAAGAGUUAUCAAAGCUAACAAGGAAUGGAAUGUUUGGUGGGAUAAAGCCUCUGAGCAAAGGAGGAGGAUGAAGGAAGCCUUCAAGGCUAAAAUUAAACACCUAUCCCAACAACUAUAAGAAGCCCAAGCUCGCAUACUGCAAGAAACUCAACAUUGACAAGAAAUUAAGAUGGCCUACCAAAGUUCUCAUGGACUUGAUGAAUAACUGCAUGAACUUAGGCUCACUGCCCAAUGCAUAAGAAAGUCCAGGGAGGAACUAAAGAAGCAUUGGGAAUCCAAAUUUGAUGAAAAGGUGGAAGAACUGAAACAAGAGGAAACAUUCUCCCUCCAUGCACGAGUCACACCAGGCAAAUGGUUCAUGAAAUGCGAGGAAGUUGUCAAGCUUGCCAAUCACUUGAUACACAUUUUCCCUCUAAGGAUAAUUGAUGCUUUUGAGGAAAUGACUUAUGAGAACACACCGCCUACAGUCUUCAACUUUAUUCUCCUUUGCAAAUACAUGGUUAAGUACCUCAAGAAAAAGUUGGCUCACUUGAAGAAAGUUCGAGGAACGGCCAAGUGAAAGGAUAAAUUUACAUAUUUAUUACCUUAUUUUGUAAUCAUCAAAUGUACUUGAUUAUGAAUGAAUGAAUGUUUGAGUUUACUUAGAAGUUGUUUAUCUUUAUAUCUCGCUCUUACACUUUUGAAUGCCUAAACGACUAAUCCAAAGAUUCCCUACAACUAAAAAAACAAAAGAGAGCACAUGCAUCACAUUUCAUCAGCAUGCAUAUCAUUUUCCCAAAAACACAAAAACUAAUCCUCUCUCCUCGUCUUUAGAAAAAAGUUGUUUAUCCGACAUUAGUAUGCCACACCCGCCAAUACUAGAAGAGUAAUGGAUCCAGUUCAAUAAGAGCAAGCUGUUAUGCGAGAGGAGAUUAACUUCAUCAAAGACAAAGUUGAUCAAAUUCUAGAAACCAUGAUGGCUCUGGCCAUAAUGGAAUAAGAGCUUUGUAAUGUCGUCACUACAAGGAAUGAGGUUCAUGUUCAAGGAUCUACUUCAAGACCCGCAGUUCCCAUUCCUGUGAUUUUUAUUCUUUUGGUUUAUUUUAUUAUUUAUUUUAUUACUUUUUUUAAAAUUAAUUUAACUAUUUAAAUUUGUAGUAAUUAAAUAAUUAAAUGUUUAUUUGAUUAAUUGAUUAGGUUUUAAUUAAUUAUUUUUUUAUCUUGUUAAGUAAAUUAUAAGAUUAUUUGUUUUGUUUUGUCAUAAUUAGGUAUUUGUUUUCAAUGUUUCAUAUUAUUCAUGUAAAUAAUCAUACUAACAUUUCACACAAUUUCAAUUUCAAACCAUUUUCACACUAACUUCACUAAUAUUUAAUUCAAUUUCACUAAUAUUUCACCAUCGAUUAAAUACCUUCAAAUUAUUUUCAAAACCAUUUUCAAAACCAUUUUCAACUAGGUUCAAACUAUUUUCAAAACCAUUUUCAAUUUCAAUUUCGAACCUUUUCUUUUACUAAGACAAGCAAACCUCGAUCGACAUCAAGUAACUUUUCCUAAAUAACACUUAUUAUCAAAUCAUUUCUCUUAAACAAAUACGAAAGAACAGGACUGUUAGAAUCUAACAUUCUAGCAAAACCCUCGAAUGAUUGGUCUUGAGGCACAAGUUUUGGGAUAACCACUUAUUCUUUUUUUCACACCUAAAACACUUAAUAAACGUGGACUAAAAAGGACAUUUGGAAUAUAACAUUCUGAUGGAACCCUUGAACAAUUGAUUCUAAGGCAUGUGUCUUGUUCUUAUCAAACGUUCGUUGUCCAUUGAACAAUUUUCUUAAAUACCUAAAAUAAAAAAGGACCGUUGAAAUCUAACAGCAUGGUAGAACCCCAAAUAAUUGAUCCCGAGGCUUAUGUCUCGUUCUCAUCAAGCGUCGUAAUUCACCUAAAAUACACUUAACCAAUCAAACUCGUUUUCUCGCCUCCGUGCGAUAUUCAAAAAAACAUUUUCACAAACGAAGAUAUUUUGUCUCAGGACAGUGAUAGACAAUGCCUCAUCCAUAAAUCGUGCGAGUUGAGAUAAAUGAUAUUUUUCUGUGUGAAUGAUGAUUUGUAAAUCCAUUCAAUAUGUGAUGCAAACGUCUGCUCCUCACCUGUUUUGGGUAAGUAAUGUUUUCCAUCAAUUGACACGAAAUAAUUUUCGCAAAAAUCUACCAACAAACAAACAUUUUCUACCUAUAACUACGUAAGCCUUGAGUUCUCCAUCGCACCCAGAGACACGUAUGAGCGAGAUUCAAAGUCUCGUCAGACAUUCUAAUAAAAAAAAACUUUUUUUCAUUUUUUCUUUUCCCUUUUAAUAACUCAAGAAGCCUAACAUUUCUAAGCUAACACUAACGUGCACAACUAAUCAAACGUUUUUCGUUAAGUACAAUAGACGUCAAGGGUGCAAAAAUCUUCCCCUUGCGUAAUUGACUCUCGAACCCUAAUUAGGUUGCGCCGGUCAAUAUCAUAUGUCAGUGACGACUCUAUUAAAUCUAUCCCGCGAGCAUGUGAUUCGCUUGACGAGGUCGUGUUCUUAUUUUUCGAGGUACGUCGAUCUGCAUAUAAAGUGUGGGGUGAAACUUGAACACUUCUAGUCCUUUUCAUAGGCAGUACCUUAGAUUCCUCAACCAGAUUUGGCGGGGCCUUACUAAAAACAUCCUUAGCCAAGCAAAAGACGAUUUGAGAUAAGGGAUCACCUUGUCUCACUCAUCUUUGUCAUUGAAAAAAGCCAUGCAUUUUUCCAUCGAUUGAAACAGAAAGAUAAGUAGAUUGGAGAAUUUUGUGAAUUCAAAGACAAAAUUUAUAGCAAAAACCAAAUAUCUUAAGACCCUAAAGAAGAAACUUCCAACUUAAGGUAUAUAAAGCCUUGCAUGUGUGUAUUUUAAGAGAAAUAUCUCCACCAUAACACUUCCUACUGAGAGUAUUGACUGCCUAGUGAGACAUAUACCAUCCCUUACGUUUCUGCCCUUAUGAAGCCUUUUUGCUCAAGAGAGAUGAUAUGUGGCAUGACUGAUGCCAAUUGUCAACAAUGAUUUGGGUGAUGAUUUUGGUCUUAUAGUCUCCUAGAGUAACAGGUCUAAAACGGAUAAUGGAGCUAGCACUAUGUGUUUUAGGAAUCAAAAGUAUAUAAUUUAAAUUAUAGUAAGACAUAAUCCAAUCUUGAAUAAAGAAUUGAGAUAUAAAUCUAAUGACAUCAUGCUUGAUGAUAUCCCAAAAGGUUUGACAAAAAAAUCCUUCAAAGCCAUUAGGGUCAGGAGCACUUUUCUUGUACAUUCUAAACAUGACACCCUUUAUUUCCUCAACAAUUUGAAUACUAGUAAAGAGAUGGUUGGUAUCCUCAUUAACCAAAAAGGGAAUGAUUUCCUCAAUCAUACCAUUAUUCACUAAUUCAUUAUUGUUAUUGUAAAGGUGUGUAAAGUAUCAAGUGACAUGCUCACUCUUGAAAUCUUCGUUAGUGAUAACCUCAUUGUUAUGAUGAAUGGCAGAAAAAGGUUUAGAGACAACUUUUAUCUUGGCAUAUACAGGUCUCCUUUAAAAGCCCAAUACACUCUAGAUUUCUCCUUCCAAAAUGCUUCUUCAAGACUGAAAGAAAAAAACACAUUAUUGUGCAAUAUUUUCCUACUCCAGCCUGAAGAACUUCAUCAUGACCAAUACUAGCAGACCUGAUCUAAAUUCUGUUAAGGUUUUAUUUUGCAGUUCUGACUUUUUCUUGAAUGUUACAAAAAGAGGACAUGUUCCACUCCUUUAAGUUAUUUUUUAGGGGCUUGAACUUCUAUCUAGAAUUAACAUGGGGAAGCCAACCACUAUGGUCUCCCAAGUCUUAGCAACAAUGUUUAUAAUCGAAAUUGAGCAUAAUGGGGAUAGUGGUCAGAACAAUUCUUGGUGAUACUGGAGCAAGACAAGACAAGACAAUCCAGGCUUGAUUUUCAAUAGCUCAAUCCAAACCAUUUUAAGGUUUUCUUUUACCCUCUCUACCAUGGGAGCAGGUGAGAUGAUGAUAUUUAAUGGAGAAAGUGUAUUAGCGGUUAAGGUUUGUCCAAUUAUAAAAGUCUUCCAUGCAGAUACUAGAAGGUCACAAAUGAGGCGAGGCACGGCACCAAGGCAUGUUUGAGUUUAAAAGGUUACAAAUUAUUCCAAAGAUCCCUUCUUUAAAUAUAAUCGGUUGAGGCAUAUAUUAUUACGAUCCAAAAUCUUCUGUUGUUAUCCAUCAUCACACAAGAAUUAAAUUGAGACACAUAGGCGCGGCCCACCAUAAACAUGAUAUCAUUCCUAAUUAAUUAUUAUUUUACUAAAAUAAUUUUUAAUUUAAUAUUUGAAUUUUAAAUUUUUCCAAAAAUUAAUUAUACUAAAUUAUUUAAUUCUCUAAUGCCUAAUUAAUUCUUAAAUAAAUAAUUCUAAAAAAUUGAUACAUUAAAAUAUAUUAUAAAAUUAAAGUAACAAAAUUAUUAUAAUAAUUAGUCUAAUUUUUGAUUAAAUUUUAAAAUCAACUAAAAUCAUUUAAUCAUAAUAAAGUUAUAAAAAAAACACAAUUUGAAUUGAGGACCAACUUUUUACUUAAUAAAGACGAAAAAAAAGGUAAAAAUAAGUGAUAUUUACAUUUGUUACAUGCUGAUAAAAAAAAUCACACAAAUCAUAAAAGACGAUAUCAAAAUAAUUUGAUAAAGAGAAAUUAAAAAUGGAAAUAUUAAAAGCCAUCAUCAAAAAUACAUUCAUUCUUAAUUAUUUAUUCAUUAAAGCCAAAUUUUAAAUAUUAAAAGCCAUCAAAAAUUGAAAUCUAAAUUAUAGAUAAAUUAAAAUUAAUAUAAACAAAUUUAUUUUAAAAAAGUGGUAAUAUUUAAUAUUUAAUUGUUGAGCAAAUGUUAAAUAUGAUCAAGAGGUCUCAGGUCAUUUAAUUGUAAAUACAUCAUAAUCUAGAUAAUCAGCCAAUGUAGGCAAAUGAAAGACAUCACUGACCUCACAUAAAUCAAAGUUGAAUUAACUAAAUAAUUCCUAGAAAAAAAUAAUUGAAUUUUGAUGAACAUAAAGUAUGAGAUUUAUUUUAGGGAAAAAAAUUCACUCAGUGGUGGCUAGAUAAAUUAAGGUUCGAUUCUGCCUGCAAAUAUCCUCAACAUGAAAUCAGAAGAGGGAGCUUUGUAUCCUCAUCGUGAAAUUUUUUUUCCCAAAAAAUCAAAAACAGAGAAAAUAAAAAAUGAAAAAGAUCACUCAGUUCAGCGGGGUUUUCGACACGCAAAGCAAACUCAUAGAGAAAGCACUGCAUUCCGGUCUGUUGAGCUUGAAUUUCAUGGAGUCAUCACUGUGAUCUCUAUUAUUUCAUAAUAACAUUCAAAAUUCAACAAGAAAAAUCGAAUCCAAGGCAAGAAAAACAUACAAAAAUCAAAUGCAUAAAUCAUUAAAAGGAAACACAGACAGAAUAAAUUGAAAGAGCGAUUAGAAAUUGAAGAGUGGAGGCGUAUUCACCAUUCGCGAUUGAGAAAUUCUGUUCGCAGCUUCUGAAUUUAUAAGAGAGAACUAGGGUUUCUGAGGGAGCGAUAAUAGAAUCCGAGUACGCCGUCGUUUUUAGAAGAUUACUUGUUGGAUUUUUUCCGUCGAAUCCGCUGAGAAAGCCCAUAAGCUGUUACAGCCAACUUACUUCUCAUCCCUUAUGUUUAAUCUAUCACCCCCUCUAUUUCGUGUGAAAAAGUUUUUUUCCUUUUUAACUAAUAACUAAAACAUUAGUAAAAUUUAGUAAUCCGUAAAUUCUAUACGGUAAAAGAAUUUCGAAAAAAUUUCUACACACAUAAUUCUUCAAAAUAAAAUAUAUAUGAAAAGUUUUUCUCUUCGAUUAUUACUAUUAGUAAUUUUUAACUGUAUUUUUAAUUUUUUAAAAUAAUUUUGUACUUUUAUAAAAAAAAUAUAGAGAGAAUGUGAUCUUUCUACAUAUUUAGCUCGUAUAUGUAUAAAUUUGUGUAUUUUAUAAGUCUUAACAUGUAUAACUUGUAAUGUUAAAUUAUUAAAGGGUGUUUACAUAUAUCAAAUAAUGUUAAGUUCAAAUUGUCAACUAGUUUAUUUGGAUUUUGUAAGAUUGGUUAUGUGAUUAAAAUAAAGUAUUUAUCAAAUGUAAAAUGAUCUUGUGAGGAAGUGAUUAUUUUUUUUUCUUCAGUCAAAGGGUCGGGUGUUAUAUGAAGUUUAGUUUGUUUUUUCGGUUAGAGAAACUAAUGUUAGACGAAGUUGAGUAUUUUUCUCAUGUUGGAGAAAAUUGUGUUAUAGGAAACGUUGCAGCUUUUUUAUUCAUGUCUUUACACAUGAAACACACACUAUUUACACAUGAAACACACACUAGAGAAUAAAAUUAUUGUCUUAUAUACUUGUAGUCAUCAAAACCAAAAUUUAAGAUUAUUGUUCUUAAAACUAUUAGAAACUACCAUUUAAUCUUUGUUUAGUUUCUUAAUUAGUUAUGUUAGUUGCACCAAUAUAGGAUAAUUUGUUGGUAAAUAUCAUUUCUCAUUUGUAUAUAUACACCACUUUCAUAAGGUGUACUAAGACUUUUGAUCAUAUAAUAAUAUGAUAAUACGAGAGGUUGUGAUAAUCUAAUAUGGUAUUAGCCUAAUACCUAUAUUACUUUUUGUCAUUCAUUUCUUCUUAUCACGGAUAUUUUCCUUGUUCUCUCUUUCCUGCCAUAUCUUCCCACAUGUUCCAUCUUCAUUCCACCACUUAGAUCUUCCUCAUAGAUUGCCCUCAGACGUCAUCUUAUCUCCGCCAGCUUAUCCAUAUGUGAAGUCCUCAUAUUGCCUUCUUCCAUUGAUAGUUUUAGGUUUAGGUUUUUGAUAUGGGUUCGUAAGGGAAGUAUGAUGAAGAAAAUGAAAGAAUAAGUUGGAUAAAAGAUGAAUGUGAAAAAGUGUGUGAUUUAUGGUUAUGACUUUUGUGGUUUGAGUUUGGUUUUAUGGGUUUAAGAUAGGAUGAAUGUGCUUGAGAUGGGACACAUUUUUUGGGUUCGGGAUGAAGAUGUUCUUGAGGUGAGAUGAGUUUUUUGGGUUAAGUAUGAAGGUAUUCUUGGGAGAGGAAUGCUUUUCCAAAUUUUGUAUGAAGUGUUCUUGAGAGAGGAUGAUUUUUCUGCGAAUUGUAUAAAGGUGUUAUUAAGAUAGGAUGAUUUUUCUGGGUUUUGUAUGAAGGUGUUUUUGAAAUUAGAUGAGGUUGUUGGGUAUGUGAUGAAGAUGUUCUUGAGGUGGGAUGAGUUUUAUGGUUUCAGUAUGGAGGUAUUCUUGGGAGAGGAAGAAUUUUUUAGAUUUCGUAUGAAGGUGUUCUUGAGAGAGGAUGAUUUUGUUGGGUAUUGUAUGAAGGUGUUCUUGAGAUGGGAUGAUUUUUCUAGGUUUUAUAUGAAGGUAUUCUUGAAAUUUGAUGAGGUUGCUAGGUUUAAGAUGAACAUGUUCUUGAUAGUGGAAGGUGUUUUUGAUUUCUGUUUUUUGGAUGGAAUGUAUAAAGAGGUUUAUGAGUUCGGUCACAGUGAGAGAAGUAAAUAAAGAGUAAGACAGAAAGGAGUAAGUGCACUGAUUAUGCCCUCUUUCAUGAUUGCACACAAUAUCAUAGACUAGUUGGCCAAUUAAUUUAUUUAACCACCACUCGUCCUGAUAUUCCUUUUAUUGUCCAACAACUUAGUCAGUUUGUUUUUCCACCUAUUGAUAAUCUUUUCAACGUGGCAAUCGGAAUCCUUCAAUAUUUAAAAACUAUCAGGGACUAUUUUAUUUUGCUGAUUCUGACUUAGUUCUAUCUAGUUUUGCGGAUAAUGAUUAAGUCGCAUGCCCUACAACAAAAAGAUUUAUAAAUGGUUUUGUUGUUUUUCUUGGAUAAUCUCUUGUUUGAUAAAAGUCAAAUAAGCAAGCAAUGAUAUCUCACUCCAGCUCAGAAGCAGAAUACAAAACCCUUAUUGAUAUCACAUGUGAAGUCCAAUGGAUGCAUUACUUCUUCAAAGAUCUACACAUCCAAUUCAACAAGUCAACAUCCAUUUACUAUGACAACUGAUAUGUAGUCUACCUUGCUCAUAAUCCCACCUUCCACGAACGUUCAAAACAUAUCGAAAUUGACUACUAUAUUAUACGAGAAAAUUUGGAAAUUGGCUUCAUCAAGCUCUUCCCAAUUCCCAUCUUUUACUCAAAUUGUCGAUGUUUUGACUCUGAAGACAAGCUUAACUUAGUUUAAAUUUUGAUGAAGAUAAAAGAUUAUCAAAGAAGGAAAAGGCUUCUCUAUCAUAGCUAAUGUAUCAAAGGCCUCUCAAUCAAGGAUUGUUUAUUCAUAAGCACUAGAUGUCAUAUAAAUGAAGGAAAUUGAUCAUUAUGCUGAGAUACUCAUUGCAGUUCAUUGUAUAUAACUUUAGAUGCUCAUAAAAUCUCAUUCAUCGUUCCUCUCUAAAGUUCUAAACCUUCAUGCAUCAAAACCUUUCAAGUUAGUCCAUUACAAAGCCAGUUUUUCAAUUUUCAAUAGGGUGUAACUGGUUACACAAAAGGCGUAACUAGUUACAUAUGCAUUCUAUUUCAAACAAAACCAAUUUGAAAGGGUGGUAACCAGUUACAAUACAUGUGUAACCGAUUAUAUGAUGCUAUUAUUUGAAAAUUUAUGUAAUGUUAAGGGUGAUACCAGUUACACCUUUUAGAUAAUCGGUUACACUCGGUAAAAUUUCAUCUUUUCAUGGACCAUUCUCAUUUUAACCCUUUAUAAAUCUUCAUGGAAAUGCUAUAGACAUAUGCAACUAAACUUAGAGGUUUCUUAGGGUGUAUUUAAGGCAAGAUACAUCUGAUUUUUUCAAACUACCUCUUUCAUGAAAAUUUUACUUACCAUUCAAAUAAGUUCUAAGUGUUCUUUCAUCAAAAACUUUUAAAACUUUUCUACAUAAUUUUCAUGUCAUUGCAAAGUUUCAUUAUAAAUUUUGAGCAUUUAAUGAUUGUAUAUUAUUGAAUUGUAAUAUUGAAAGGGAAGAUCAAUUUUCAUCUUGAAAUUACUUCAAGGGUCAAUCUUAUUAAAAUUGAUCAAGUAUAUUGUGACUAAAUCACCAAAGUGUGUGGUGAUUAGUUUGUGUAAAAGAAAGUUAUGUACUUUAUUUAAGUGUGUAUAAAUGAAAGUUGUGUGCUUUCUUUUAUGUUGUCAUAUGAAGGUUAUAACUUGGUAUUUGAAGAAUACUUAUAUAACAAUCUCAUCAUAGUGGAAAGUCCUUUAAUACGUGAUGGGACUAGAUGUAUCUUUGUCUAUCCUCCUAACUGAACCAGGUUUUAUAUGGGCUGACCUCUAACCAAGAUGGAGUUUUAAGUUGGCUAUCCUCUAAACCGAGAAAAUAUUUUACAUAAGCUAAUCUCUAACCAACUGAGCUUUUACACCAGGAUGAGCUUAGGAACCAAAUGAGAUUUUAUAAAGGGUAAUAUCGAACUGAUAGAACUUUUAAUUAGGCUGAGCUAAAAAAUUGUUGUGGAGAUUUUAAUGGAUGAUCUUCACGAACCAAAUGGGAGAUUUUCUUAUUGUUGAAACUCACAAGCCAAAUGGAGACUUCCUAAGAUAAUUCCCCAAAAGCAAACAAGAGCUUUUACUGGUUUAACUCGCAACCAAAAAAUUUCCUAAGGAAAAUAUUUUACUUAAGAGAUAAUACACUCUUGUCAAAUUACAAUUAUGCCCUUACCCAGAAUAAUGAUCAUCACUUAAACAUGAAAGUACUUAUGAAACACUAAGUCAAAAUAUAUGUGAGAAGUUGAUUGAUUUAUAAAAAAUUAGAGAGUAUGAAAAAGUUAUAUCAAAGCUCGUUUUCUAGAUUAAGUAAAAUGAUAGAGAAACUCUCUAUUUAUAGGCCAUAUUGGGGUUUAAAUUUGUAAACAAUCCAUGGGCAAAAUGAAUGUCAUAAAGGAUUAGGCUAAUCGAUUAUUGACCCCUAAUAAUCGUUAGUUCAAGCCACAAAUGGAAGUUUUUGAUAUUUAACUCUUAUUAAUCAUUAAGAGAAUGUCCCAAUCAAUCUUAUACUCAACCUAGAGAAAAUAAUCGAUUAGAAUAUUAUGUUUAAUCAAUUAUAUAGUGGUUAAAAUUCUUUCAGUCAAUUAGACACUUCCGUAAUCAGUUGGUUAGGGCUUAAAAACAUUUUCCAAGUGGUUUAAAUAAAAUGUGAGAAGUUUCUCAAAGGUUUUUAGUGUUUGUGAUUUUUCUUUAGGAUUUCCAAAAGUACCCUUGUAUCUUUACAAGACACUAGUUACUCAAGCAGACACAAGUAAACGAGCUCUCACACUUCCUCUUCUUCGCAAAUUUGAAGCUUUGAGUAUUGGCAUCAUUAUAUUUGAGUUUAGCAUCACACGAGAAACGUGUAUCUUCUUAAUGGGGCUUGAGAUAUCUUCAUAUUAAUUACCAUCAUCAGAGAUUUGAUAAGAUAAAUCACCAGUAAACUCCGAAUAUAAGUCUUUACUUGAAUGUCUCAUGACCACAUUAUUGACUUCAAAGAGAUAACUUGAUCAUCAGAAGCAUCUUUAAAGGAUAUCUUGAUUCAAAAGAAUGACUUUCUAACAUGUCUUGAGUAUCUUCGACCACUAGAGAUAUCUUCCACACACAAGGACUUCACUCGAUGUUGUUUGAUAUCAAGUGUUGUCAUCAUCAAACCAAACAUCAAAUUAGUUGAUUGCAACUUUGAUAUCAACAAACUUCAUCAUCUUGGAUCACAUUAAUAACACCUACAAAUAUAUAGAUCCAUAUAAAUGUGCUCCAUCUUCUCCGUUGUGACACUUUCACUUGUUCAUUACAUAAAAUCAUUAUAAUCAAUUUCAACCACCACAUCCACGCCAUUGUAACCUCCUUGCAAAUAAAUUUUUCUUCAAUUAAAAAAUUUGUUGUAAUUUUUUUUUACUAUGGCAAGCAAAAACAAUUCUGGAUCGACACUCGUCUAUCCCGAACCGUUAUCGAACAGAUCAGAUAUAUGUAUAAACCAUAACAAGACGUAAAACAAUGAUGAGAAACAAAUCAUUUUUUUCCAAAAUAAUGUUUCAACAAAUCACGCUUUGUAAUCAAUUUCCAAUGAAAUGGGAAACAAGAAUCAACUAAGAUAAUAUAUCAAACACUUGGAUUUGUUUAUGCCCUUCUCACUUUUAAUUUAUUUCUUUUAUUUUGAGACGUCGUUUGUUCUUGCUUCUCUUUUUUUUUAGGGCUCCUCCUUUGAUUCUUUCUUAAAAGGAUUAUGCUUCUGUCAUUAUUUCUUCUUCCCAGUAAUUAUGGAUAUAAAUUCCAAAUACUUGUUUGAAUUGUAUGAUGAAAGCCUUCUCAAUGUAAACUUGCUCAAAUUUCUGAUUGAUUUUCCUUCAAGAAAGCCACCAUUGAUCAAUUUCACCUUCAAAGUCCCAAAAAAAUCCAUGAUGGUUGAUUUUUCCAUGAAUAUUUAAUGUUUCAACGUAUCGACAAAAUUGGAUUAACCACCAAUAAGCAUCGUUGCUUCCAUCAAAUCUUUGCAUCAUUUAUGUCACUAUCUUCUUGUCGAAAACUCUCAUACAACUAUUAAAUUUUGCUAAAUUAAUUAAAAUUUCUCUGAUACCAAUUGAUAGGACAUAUGAAACAAUAAAAUAAGGUUAAUUCUAACAUGGUCCCUAAGGGAACAAGUUAACAAACUAUUCAACUAUUAACAAUAGAGCUUCAGAUUUUAGACCAAUUACAAGGCGCAAAUGGAUUCCGAAACCACCAAGAGUUCAGUGGGAUAAUGAAGCCAUGCAUAUUCAUGAUGCAUAAAAUAAAAUAAGAAGGUCUUCAUUAUUCUUUUCAUCAUUUUUGGAAGAUUUUAGAACAAAUCACAUGUAUGAAACGUUUCAGAGUUAUGGAGAGAUCAAUGAAGUUGUUAUUCCUUCCAAGCGAGAUGUCAGAGGAAAGAGAUACGAUUUUGUUAGGUUUUUUGAUAUCAUUCAUUAACUUGUAUUCAUUGUGUUUUAUACAAAACAAUAUAAGGUUAAGGGUUAGGCUUAUCAAAUUGGAAUCCUCUUUUCCUAAUGGUGAAUGGUGCGUGAGAGGCGAUUUCAAUGAAAUUAAGAGGUUUAGCAAAAUAAAAGGUGCAAGAUACAAUAUCAACCAUUCAAAAUGGGCUAAAUUAUCAGAUUUCAUUGGGGAUGUAGAUCUAGUGGAUCUCCCUAUAAUAGGUGACAAAUUCUCCUAGUUCAAUUAGGCAGAUGAUUCAGCAAGCAGACUAGAUUGUUUCUUGGUUUCCGAUGGGCUAAUUGAAUUGUGGAGUUUAAAGGGAAAGUUUAUUAGCAAGAAAAGUUUCUCUGAUUAUUGUCUAAUCUCAAAUAAAGCCAAUAGAUUGAAUUAGGGACCAAUUCAUUUAAGUUCUUCUCUUCUUAGAUUAAACAUCUUGAUUUCUUACAUAUGGUUAAAGAUGUUUGGUACGGUGCAAAUAUACAAGGGCAAAAAUUGUUUAUUUUCAAAGAGAAGCUUAAACAUCUUAAGAAUAGAUUAAUAAUUUGGAAUACUGAAGUGUUUAGGAAACUUGAUUUGUAGGUUAAUGAAGUUGUUCAAUACCUUAACUUGUAGGAUAACUUGGUGACUAAUGAAUACAACAUUGUUAUUGUUGAAACCUAUGAUAGAAGGCGUGAAGCUCAAGCCCAGGUUUGGGAAAGAAUGUGUUGGUGUAAGCCCUAGAGGCCAAUACUUUUGGUACUUGUAUUGAAUUAUUUAUUAAUAAUAAAAGGUUUUUUCUUUAUUAUGUUUGUUUAAGAAAGUCCCUAGAAUAUUUAGUCCAUUUAAUGUAUCAAGUGUGACUUAAUCAUGAGAUCCCAUUAAACAUAAGGACAUUAUUCUUAAAGUAUCUGUAGUCGAGCUUUAUUGUAAAAUGGGAUAACAUUAAAGCAUUAAGACUAUUAUGUAUAUAUACUGAUAAUCACAUCUCAUGGAUCACGGAUAAGGAGUUAUCAAGUCUUAAACAUAGGUAUGAAUAUUAAGAGUAAUAUUUAUAGUGGAUUGACCCGCUAUGAGAAUACUAUAUAGAAUGUUAUGCAAAGUGUCAUAAGUUAUUCUCAUGGUGAUAAUGGUGUAUACCACCCUUCGACCUGAAACCACUAUGGACCCUAGAUGUAGAGUCAAAUAGAUUGACCCGCUAUGAGAAUACUAUAUAGAAUGUUAUGCAAAGUGUCAUAAGUUAUUCUCAUGGUGAUAAUGGUGUAUACCACCCUUCGACCUGAAACCACUAUGGACCCUAGAUGUAGAGUCAAAUAUCUUAUUACUGAUCAAACUUUGUCCGUAACUGGAUGGCCAUAAAGACAGUUGAUGGAUACUCCAUGAAGAAUGCUGAGGGACAUGAGUGACCUAGAUGGAAUUUGCCCAUCCUUCGUAACAGGAUAAAUGUCUACGGGCCCAAUAUUGAACUGGAUAAGGAUGACACGGUCUAUGCCUUGUGUUCAAUAUAAGCAUAAGGGCAAAAAGGUAAUUGUAUACAUAAGUAUUAUCACAAAAGGAUUUGUCAGAUCACAUGACAUUUUCGUGUCUUGGGUAUCUGUGAUGUGUUGCUAGAUACCGCUCACUGUUUAUUAUGUUAAAUAUGUGAUUUAAUAUAAUUGCUAAUGUCAUAAAAACCUACAGGGUCACACACAAAAGGACGGAUUGAUGAGAGAUAGAGUAACUAAGGAACACCGUAAGGUACGACGCACUUAAGUGAAUUGUAGAACAUUAUAAGAUACGAUGUACUUAAGUAGAAUAGGAAAUAUGGUAAGGUACCACACACUUAAGUGAUUUUGACAUAUCAUAAGAUAUGGGCCACAUACACUUAAGUGGACUUUUUAGCUUGCAGCCCAUACAAGUGGUUUUAUAAAUAAAACCCUUGUGUAGAAGCAUUUGUGCAGUUGUAAUUUCAUUUCUCUCUCUCUCUCUCUCUCUCUCUCUCUCUCUCUCUCUCUCUCUCUUAAAGCCUUCAUUCGUAGCAGCUAGCACUGAGAUUGAAGGAAUCCGUUCAUGUGGACUGAGUAGAGGCGUUGUUACCAUUCAAAGUUCAUAAUCGCUCCGUAGAUCUGCAUCAAAGGUUUCAAUCGUCACAAGAGGUAACGAUUCUAUCACUGAUCAUGCCCAUUCGUAAGGAUCACUAAAGGAGAAAAUUUUAAAUUCCGCUGCGUUUUGGAUCACUCUUCUCCUUCAGUGGUAUCAGAGCCACUUACAAAACCAUGCAUUUGAUAGUUAUUUAUUUUCUGUAUUAAUACGAUUAUAAGAUAUAAUGAAUCAAAGAACAAACGAGUAAUUAAAUUUGGCAUCAUGUGUGUAUGAUUUGGAUGAUUGAUGUUGACUAUGCUUCGGAAUCCGAUGUUAGUAUGGUGAAGCAGUGAUACAUCGAUCGUCCAUAGGUUACGCAAUUGAGAUCUGUUGUAGAAUACUUUACUGAUAUAUUAAAAAGUGAUUCUUACAUGUUACAUCUACAUGCUUUAAAUAAGAGAGAAUAGAAAACCUAAUGGGCUUUGACUAAUGGGCCUCAUUACUAAUAGAAAUAAUUACUAUUUACAAAAUGGUUUCCUCAUUAACCAAAAAGGGCGAAUGAUCUCCUUCAUCAUUACCAAUAGUUCACUUGGUCAUUCAUUCCGUUAUGUAAAGGGUGUAAGAGAUCACAAUGACAAUGCAUCCUCACUCAUCUCGAAAUCUCAGUUAGCAUCACCUUGGAUAACCUCAUUUUAUGAUGAAUCGGCAGAAAAAAAAGGUCUUCUAGAGACAACUCCGCAUCUUGGCAAUACAGGUCUCCUUUUAUUAAAAGCCCAAUCAGCACUCUAUAUUUCUCCCUUCCAAACAUGCUUCUUCAAGACUAAAGAAAAAAACACAUUCAUUGUCAAUUAUUUUCCAGCUCCAGCCCUCGAAGAACUUACUUAUGCACCAAUCACUAGCAAGACCUGAUCUAAAAUUCUGUUAAGUUUUACUUUUCAUAUCGGCACUUUUUCCUUGAAACAUGUUACAAAAACGAGGACAUCUUCCACUCUUUAAGUCUAUUUUUUAGGGGCUUGAACUUCUAGCUAGAAUUAAACAUGGGAGCCAACCACUAUUGGAUCCCAAGCUCUUACAACAAUGUUCUCAUAAUACGAAUUGACAUAAUGGGUAGUGGAUCAGAACAAUUCCUUGGUAUACUGGAGCGAAGACAAAGACAAGACAAUCCAGGCUUCCAUUAUCAGAUGAGACUCAAUCCAAACAAUUUUAAGGUUUCUUUCAUACCUUCUUACUACCAUGGAGCACGAUGAGUGAUGAAUAGAUUAUUUACAUGGAGAAAGUGUCAUUAGCGGUUCAAGGUUUGUCAAAUUAUAAAAGUCAUCCAUCAAACCUACAAUGGUCAACAAUGAGGCGAGCACGGGCACCAGGCCAUGUAUUGAGUUAAAAGGUUCACAACGCCAUUAACUUCCAAGAUCCCCUUCUUUAAAUUAUAAUCGGUUGAAGGCCAUAGUAAUAUUAUUACGAUCCAAAAAUCCUUCUUUGUAUCAUCAUCACACAAAAUUAAUAUUGAGACACAGAGGACGCGGCCACAAACAUGAUAUCAAUUCCAAUUAAUUAUAUUUUACUUAAAUUAAAUUUUAUAAUAUUAUUGAAUUUUUAAAUAUUUCUCCAAAAUUUAAUGCAUACUAAAUUAGCUUAAUUCUCUUAAAGACCUAGAUUAAUUCUUAAAUAACAUAAUUCUAAAAAAACUCUGAUACAUUAAAAUAUAUUUAUAAAUUAAAGUAACAAAUAAUUACUAAAAAUAUAAUUCAGUCUAAUUUUUGAUUAAAUUAUUAAAAUUCAACUCAAAAUUCAUUUAAUCACUAAAAAUGUAUAAAAAUAAAAACACACCAAUUUGAAUUCGAGUGACCAACACUUCUUUACUUGCAUAAAAGACGAAAAAAACAACACGGGCUUAAUGAACAAUAAUGCUAUUUACAUUUGUUACAUGCUGAUAAAAAAAAUUCACCACAAAUCAUAUACAAGAGCCGAUAUCAAAUAAUAUUGAUAAAGAGAAAUGAAAAAUGGAAAAUAUUAACAAACGCAUCAUCCAAAACUACACUUCAUUCUUAAAUUAUUCUAUUCAUUAAAGCACAAUUUCUAAAUAUUAAAAAGCCGAUCAAAAACUUGAAAUCUAAAUAAUAGAUAAAUCUAAAAUUCAAUAAUAACAAAUGCUAUUCUUACAAAAGUCCCGGUAACUAUUUCCAAUAUUUAAAUUGCUUGAGCAAAUGAUUAAAAUCAUGAUUUUUUUUAUUUCAGAAAGAGUGGUUCUUCUUUUUUUCAGGUUUUUUCAUUUAAUCUGUAAAUAAUGCCAUAAUCACUCAUAAUCAGCCAAUGUAGGCAAUAGAACAGACAUACUAGACCUCACAUAAUCAAAGUUGAAUAACUAAAUAAUCCAGAAAAAAAAAUAAUUGAAUUUCUGAUGCAUAAAAAGUAUGCAGAAUUUAUUUUAGGGAAAAAAAUUCAACUCAGUGAGUAGGCUAGAAUAAAUAUAAGUUCCGAUUUCUGCUGCAAAUAUCUCAACAUGAAUCAGAAGAUGGCUCUUGUAUCCUCAUUCGUUGAAUUUUUUUCCCCAAAAUCAAAAAGCACUGAGACAAAUAAAAAAACUGCAAAAGAUCACUAGCUUCAGCGCUUCUCGACACGCAAGAGCCCAAACUCAAAUAGAGAAGCACUCAUAUCCGCUCUGUUGCAGCUCGACAUUUCACUGGAUCAUCCACUGUGAUCUCUAUUUUUCAUAAUAACAUUCAAAUUUCAAACAACGAAAAAAUCGCAUCCAAGGCAAGACAAAACAUACAAUCAAAAUCAAAAUGCAAAUAAAUCAUUAAAAGGAAACACAACAGAUAAUUGAAAGAGCCGCAGUACAAACUCUGAAGCCUUGAGGCGGUACUCACCAACUACGCGAUGAGAAAUUCUGCUAUCGACAGCUUCUGAAUUUAUAAGCACGAGACACUAGGGUUUCUCGAGGAGCCGAUAACUAGAUCGAGUCACGCCCUCGAUUUUAGAAAGACAUUACUUGUUGACUAUUUUCCCGUCGAAUCCGCUCGAGAAAGCCAUAAGCUGUCUACAGCCAACUUUACUUCUCAUCCCUAUGUAUAAUCUAAUCCAACCCCCACUAAUUUCUCAAAUUGUGAAAAAGUUUUUUUCCCCUUAUUAACCUAAAACUAAACAUUUAGAUAAAAUUUAGUAAUCCGUAAUUCUAUACGAUAAAGAAAUUCGAAAAAAUUCUCUACAACACUAAUUUCUUCAAAACUAAAACUAUCAAUGAAAAGUUUUAUCUCUUCGAUUCAUUACCUAAUUAGUCUAAUUUUUAACUCGGUAUUUUUAAUUUAUGUAAAAAUAUUCUGUACUAUUUAUAAAACAAAUAUAGACCGAGAAUGUGAUCUUAUCACACUAUGUUAGCAUCGUAUAUGUAAUAAAUUCUGUGCGACUUUAAUAAGUUCGCUUAACAUAUCAUCUAACUUGUAAUGAUUAAAUUCACUUAAAGGGCGGAUGUUUACAAUAUAUCAAAUAAUGAUCAAGUUUCAAAUUGACUGCAAUCUCAGUUCAUUGGAUUUCUGUAACGACUUGGUUAAUGUGAUUAAAACUAACAAGUAUUAUCAAAUGUAAAAGAUCUUGUGAGGAAGUAGAUUAUUUUCUCUUUUCUUCAGCUCAAAGAUGGUCCGGGGUGUUAUAUUGAAGUUAGUCUUGGUUUCUUUCGCGUCUAGAAGACAUAAUGUUAGACGAAGUAUUACUUUUUCUCAUGUUGGAGCAAAAAGUGUGUUUCUAUCUACCACCGAAACGUUGCAGCUCAUUUUUCAUUUCAUGUCUUUUACACCAUGAAACACCACACUAUUACCAUGAACCAACACACUAGCAGAAGAAAAUAAUUGUACCUUAUAUAUCCUGUAGUCAUCAAAACAAAUUUAAUUAUUGUUCUACUAAAAACUAAUUAGAAACUGACCAUAUUAAUCUUGUUCUAGUUUCUUAAAUUAUUAGUUAGUUGCACCAAUAUAGGGAUAAUUUGUGGAAAUAUCUAAUUAUCUACAUUUGUAUAUAUCCCACCACUCUUCAUAAGGUGCUUACUAAGACUCUUUGAUGCAUAUCCAAUAAUAUGAUAGUACGGAGACGCAGUUCUCCGAUAAUACUAAUCAUGAUAUAGCCUUAGAUACCUAUCAAGUACUUUUGUCAAAUUCAUUCUUUAUCUCACGAGAUAUUUUCCUUGUUUCUCUCCUUUCCUGCCAUCAUCUCUCCCACAUCCUAUCCUAUUUCAUUCCACACUUCAAUCUUCCUCAUUAGAUAUGCCCUCCAGACGUCAUCUUAUUCUCCGCCAGCUUAUCCAUAUGCUUGAAGUCUUCAUAUUGCCUGCCCCUUCCAAUUGCAUAGUUUUAGUUUAGGUUUUGAUAUGGGAUCUAAGGGAAGUACUAUGUAAGAAAAUGAAAGAAUCAAGUUUGGAUAAAAGAUGAAUGUGAAAAAGUGUGGAUUAUGGUUAUGACUUUUGUGUGAAGUUUCGGUUUUAUGGGUUUAAGAUAGAUGAAUGAUGCUUGUUGACGAUGGACACAUUAUUUUGGGUUCGUGAUGAAAAGAUGUUCGGAGGUGAGAUGGUUUUUUGGCUUACAGUCAUGAAUAUUUUGGAAGAGAAUUCACUUUUCCAAUUUUGUAUGAAGGGUUCUUGAGAGAGGAUAUUUUUCUCCGAAUGUAUUAAAGGUGUAUUAAGAUCUAACGGAUUGAUUUUUCUGGUUUUUGUAUGCAACGGUGUUUUUGAAAUAUAGAUAGAGUCCUGUUGGUAUGUGCUGAUCGAAGGAUGAUUCUGAGUGGGAUGAGUUUUAUGGUUUCAGUAUGGAGUAUUCUUGGGAGAGGAAGUAAUUUUUCUUCAGAUUUCGUAAUGAAUGUGUUUUACGCAGAGGAAUGGUUGUGGGUAUUGUAUGAAGUGUUCUUGAGAUGGGAUGAUUUUAUCUAGGUUUUAUAUGAAAGGUAUUCUUGAAAUCUUGAUAGGUUGCUAGUUUUAGGAGACAUGUUCUGCAUUAGUAGGAAGGUUCGUUUUUGAUUUCUGAUUUAUCUUGGACUUAGGAAUGUAUAAACGAGGAUUUAAUGAGUCUGCGGUCACAUUGAGACGAAGUAAAAUCAAAGAGCUAGACCAGACAAGGAAGUAAAGCUGCAAUGAUUAUGCCCUCACGUUCAAAUGAUUGCAACACAAUAUACAAAGACUAGUUGGCAACUUAAAUAAUUCUACACACCACUCGUCCUAUAAUUCCUUUUACUGUCCAACAAACUUAUCAGUUUGUCUUAUCCCCUACUUGAUAAUCUUUUCCAACCGGGGCAAUCGGAAUCCUUCCAAUAAUUUAACAAACUAUCAGGGACUAUUUCUAUUUUGUAUUCUGACCUUAUUCUAUCUACUUUUUCCGCUGAUAAAUAUUAGUUCGCAUUCCCUCACGAACCAAAAAAGACUUUCAUCAAAACUGGUGUUGUUUAUGUCUUCUUGGAUUAAUCUCUCUUGUUGAUAAAGUCAAAUAAGCACAGCAAUGAUCCAUCUCACUCCAGCUCAAAGCCAGAUACAAAACCCUUAGUUGAUAUCAAUGUGAAGUCCAAUGGGAUGCAAUUACUUCUCAAAGAUCUACAACCAAUUCAACACAAGUUCAACAUCCAUUUACAAUGAACAACGCUGAUAUGUAGCUCUACUUGCAUCAAUAAUCCCACCUUCCCACGAACGUCUCAAAAUACAUAUCGAAAUUGAAGUACUAUACUUAUACGAGAAAAUUGACGAAUUCCUAUCAUCAAGCUUCUUCCCACAUUCCCAAUCUUCUUACUCAAAAUUAGUCGACUGUUAUAUGACUCUGACAGACAAGCUUAACUAGUUUAAGCUUUGUGCAUAGAAUGAUAAAAGAUUAUCAAGAAGGAAAAGCUUCCUCUAUCAAGCUCAAUGUAUCAAAGGCCUCUCAAUCAAGGAGUUGUUUAUUCGAGAGCCACAGAUCGUCAUACUAAAUGAAGGAAAUUGAUCAUCUAUUGCUGAGCAACGCAUUGCCAGUCAUUUAUAUAAACUUUCAGAUGCUCAUAAAAUCUCAUUCAUCGAUCCUCUCUAAAAUUUAAACCCUUCAUGCAUCACAAACCUUUCCAAGUUAGUCCAUUACAAAGCCAGUUUUUCACUUUCUCAAUAGGGUGUAAACUGCGUAUACACAAAGGCCUUAAUAGCUCAUAUGCAUCUCUUUCUAUUUCAAACAACCAAUCUUGAAGGCGGGGUAACAGUUACAAUACAUGUUAACCGAUUAUAUUGAUAGCCUAUUAUUUUACGAAAUUAAAUGUAAUGUAGAAGGGUGAUACCAGUUACACCUUGUAGAUAAUCGGUUAACACUUCGCUAAUUUUCAUCUUUUUCAUGGACCAUUCUCAUUUAACCCUUUAAUAAAUCUCAUGGAAAUGCUACUAGCAUAUGCAACUAAACUUAGAGCGUUUUUAGGGUAUUUAACCGCAAGAUACAUUGAUUUUUCAAACUACGUCUUUCUGAAAAUUUUACUUACCCAUUCAAAUAAGUUCUAAGUGUCUUUAUCAAAACUUAUAUAAAACUCUUUCUACUAAGUCUUUACAUGUCAUUGCCCAAGUUUCAUCUAUCAAUUUUGAGCAUUUAAUUAGAAUGAUAAUAAAUAUAUUGAGAAUUGUAAUAUUGAGAAGGAAGCAUCCAAUAUUCUCAUUUGAAAUUACUUCAAGGUCAAUGCUCUUAUUAAAAUUGAUCAUGUGAUAUUUGGACUGAAUCACCAAAUGUGUGGUGAUUAGUUUGUGAAAGAAAUAUGUACUUUUUAAGUGUUAUCAAAUCAGAAUUGUCGUGCUUCGUUUUCAUGUUCAUAUGGAGGGUUAAACUCUGCGUGAUAUUGAAGAAUACUUAUAUAACAAUCUCAUCAUAGUGGAAAUCCUUUAAUACGUGAUGUGACUAGGAUGUAUCUUUGUCUAUCCUCCUUAACAAACAGUUUAGAUGGGCUGACCUCUAUCCAAGAUGGCGUGUUAAGUUGGCUCAUCCUCUUUAAACCAAACGAGAAAAUAUUUACAUAAGCUAAAUCUCUAACCAACUGAGCUUUUACACCAGGAUGAGCUUAGGAACCAAAUCAGAUUUUAAAAGGGUAAGAUCAACUGAUUAGAAUCUUUGAAUUAGGCUGAGCUAGAAAAUUGUUGUGGAAUUUAAUGGAUGAUCUCGACGAACCAAAUGGGAGAUUUCUUAUGUUGAAACUCACAAGCCAAAUGGAGGAUUCCAGAUAAUUCCCCAAACGCAAACAAGACUUUUACUGGUUUAACUCGCAACCAAAAUAUUGUCCUGAACGAAAAAUAUUUACAUUAAAGAGAUAAACACUCUUGUCAUCUACCAAUUAUGCCCUUACCCAGAAUAUUGAUCAAUCACUUAAACAGAACGAGUGACUUAUGAAACACUAAGUCAAAUAUAUGUGAGAACGUUGAUUAGUUUAUAAAAAAUUAGAGAUUAUGAAAAAUUCAUAUCACAGCUCGGUUUCUAGAUAUAAGAUAAAAUGAUAGAGAGAAACAUCUCGUAUUGUAUAGGCCAUAUGGGUUAAAUUUGUCAAACCAAUCCACAUGGGCAAAAUGACAUGUCCAUAAAGGAUAGGCUAAUCAUAUGACCCCUAAAUAAUCGUUAGUUCAAAGCCAAGAAUUCGGAAGUUUUUGAUUUAACUACUAAUUAUCAUUAAGAGAAGUCCCAAUCAAUCUUUAUACUCAACCUAGGAAAAUAAAUUCAUUAGAAUUAUAGUUUACAUCAAUUAUAUAACGUGCGUUAAAAUCUUUUCAGUCAAUUAGACCACUUCCCGUACAUCGUUGGUAGGCUUAAAAACAUUUUCCAAGUGUGUUUAACAAUAAAAUGUGAGAAGUUUCUCAUAAGGUUCUUUAGUUUUGUGAUCUUUUCUGUAGGAUUUCCAAAAUACCCUUGUAUCUUUACAAAGACACUAGUUAAAUCAAGCAACCCACAAGUAAACGAGCUCUCACACUUCCUCUUCUUCGCAAAUUCUGAACUGUUGAGAUGUAUGGGCAUCAUUAUAUAUUGAGUUAGCAUCACACGAGAAACGUGUAUCUUCUUAAAUGGUGGCUUGGAGUGUCUGUCAUAGUUAAUUACAUCAUCAGAAUUUGAUAAGAUAAAUCACCAGUAAACUCCAUAAUAAAGUCUUUACUUGAAUGUCUCAGUGACCACAUUAUGACUUCAAAGAGAUACUUUGACAUCAGAGCGAUCUUUAAAGAGUAUCUCUGUUCAAAAGAAUGACUUUCUAACAUGUCUUGAGUAUCUUCGACCACUACAGAUUCUCACACACAGGUACUCACUCGAUGUUGUUUGAUCAUCAAGUGUUUCACAUCAAACCAAACAUCAAUUAGUUAUUGCAACUUGUGAUAUCAAAAACUUCAUCAUCUUUGGAUCACAUUAAUAACACCUACAAAUAUAUAUCCAUAUAAAUGUGCUCCAUCUCUCCGUGUGACACUUUCACUGUUCAUUACAUAUAAAUCAUCUAUAAUCAAGUUUUCACACCACCACAUCCACGCCAUUGUAAGCCUCCUUGCAAAUAAACUUUUUCCUUCAAUUAAAAAAUUUGUCUGCUAAUUGUUUUUAUACCUAUGGCAAGCAAAAACAAUUCGGGCAUCGACACAUCGUCUAUCCCGACCGUAAUCGUAACAGAUCCAGCAUAUUAUGUAUAAACCAUACAAGACGUAAAACAAGUGAUGAGAAACAAAUCCAUUUUUUUCCAAAAUAAUGUCUUCUCAACAAAUUCACGCUUGUAAUCAAUUAAUCCAAUGAAAUGGGAAACAAGAAUCAACUAAGAUAAAUAUAUCAAAACACUGGAUUUGUUUAUGCCCAUCUCACUUUAAUUUAUUUCUUUAUUUCUUGAACGUUCGUUUGUUCUGCUUUCUCUUUUUUUAGGGCUCCUCCUGUUGAUUUUUCUUAAAAGGAUUAUGCUUCUGUCUCAUAUUUCUUCUUCCCAGUAAUUAUGCAUAUAAAUUCCAAAUACUAUUGUUUGAAUUGUAUGCACUGAAAGCCUUCAUCAAGUGCUACUUGCUCAAAUUCUGAUUGAUUUUCCUUCAAGAAAGCCACAUCUGAUCAAUUUCUCACCUUCAUACAGUCCCAAAAAAAUCCGAUGAUGGAGUUGAUUGUUUCCAUGAUAUUAAUGUUUCAACGUAUCGACAAAAUUGAUUGACCACAAUACAGCAUCGUCUCUUCCAUCCAAUAUUUUUGCACAUUCUGUAUGUCACUAUCUUCUGCGAAAAACUCUCAUAUCAACUAUUAAAUCUUUGACUAAAUUAUAAAAUUCUCUGUAUACACAAUGAUAGAGACAUAUGAAACAAUUAACAAUAAGGUUAAUUCUCCAACAUGCGUCCCGUAAGGGACAAGUUAAACCAAACAUUAUUCUAACUUAUUCAAUAGAGCUUCAGAUUUAACAAUUACCAAGGCGCAAAUGGAUUCCGAAACCACCAAGAAGGUUCCAGGGCGAUAAUGACAUGCAAUUUCAUGAUGCAAUAAAAUAAAAUAGAAGGUCUCCAUUAUUCUAUUCAUCAUUUUGGAAGAUUCUUAAACAAAUUCACACUGUAUAAACGUUUCGAGUUAUGGAGAGAAUCAAAUGAAGUUGUUAUUCCUUCCAAGCGAAGAUGUCAGAGAAGAACGAUUUUGUUUAGCAUUUUUGAUAUCAUUCAUUAACUUGUAUUCAAUUCGCUGUUUUAUACAAAACCUAUUAAGAGUUAAAGGGUUCAGGCUUAUCAAAUUGGAAAUCUCUCUUUUGCUAUGGUGAAUGGUGGUGAGAGGACAUUUCAAUGAAUGCAAAGGGUUGCCAAAAUAAAAGGCUGCCCAGAACAAUAUCAACCAUUCACAAAUGGGCUAAAUUAAAUCAGAUUUCAUUGGGAUGUGAUCUAGGGAUCUCCCUAUAUAGGUGACAGAAUCUCCUAGGUUCAAUUAUUGGCAGAUGAUUCACCAGCAGACUAGAUUUGCUUCGUGUCUCCGAGUGCUAAUUUGAAUUGUGGAGUUAAAGGGAAAUAGUCUUAUUACAAGAAAAGUUUCUCUGAUUAUUGUCUAAUCUCAAAUAAAGCCAAUAGAUUGAAUUAGGACAACUUCAUUUAAGUUCUUCUCUUCGGUAGAUUAAACAUCUUGAUUUCUUACCAUAUGUUUAAAGAUGUGUUGGUACCGUGCAAAUAUACAAGGGCAAAAUUGUUUAUUUCAAAGAGAAGCUUAAAACAUCUUAAAGAAAAAUUGGUCUGAAGGAAAUCAAUCCAAUACCCAUCUACCGCACGCAAGAAUCGGUCAGAUACCUCAACGACGCACCAGAUCAGACCCCUCCCCACCACGCGUCCACAAACACAGACCAGCUAGACCCGGACCGUUGAUUUGUAAGUUAAUGAGUGGUUCAAUACCUUAACUUGUAAGGAUAACUUGGUGAACACAUGAAUACAACAUUUUAUUGUUGAAACCUAUGAUAGAAGGCGUGAAGCUCAAGCCAGGUUUGGGAAAGGAUGUCGUGGGUGAGCCCUAUGAGGCCAACAAUACUCUGUGGGACUUGUAGUGUGAGAGUUACUUGAUUGAACUAAUAAGACGUUUGCCUUAUUAUUUUGUUUAAGAAGGAGGUCGCCUAGAUAUGUUAGUCCAGUUAGAGUGGAUCAGUGUGACUUACAUUGAGAUGCCCAUUAAACAUAGGACAAUUCUUAAAGCUAUCUUAGUCGAGCUUAUUGUAAAAUGGGGAUAAACUAAGCAUUAGACGUCAUUAUGGUACUAUAUAUCUGAUAAUCAGCAUCUACAAUUGGUCGAUCGGUAAGAGAUAAUCUAACAUAAGGUAUGCAGUAAUAGUGAUAGAGGAUGUGAGAGUAUAUGUGUAGUGUGGAUGACCCGGCUAUGAAAUACUAUAUAGAAUGUGUUAUGCAAAUGUCAUUAAUAUAUUCUCUAUGGUGAUAAGUGGUGCUAUACCCGCCGUGUGCACCUGUGAAACCCACUGAGGUGGGACCCUAGAAUGUUAGAGUCAAUAUACUUAUUAGCUGAGUCAAACUUGUGGUCCUAACUGGAUGCACAUAAAGACAGUUGAUGAGAACUCAUGAGAUGCUGAGGGAAUGAGUGACCUAAGGGAAUCUUGCCCAUCCUUCGAUAACAGUGCAUAUAGAAGUUCUACGGGCGCCAAUAUUGAACUGGAUAACGGAUGACACGGGGUCUAUGCUCUGUGUUAAUAUUAGCAUAAGGCCAAAAAUGGUAAUGUAUACAUAAGUUUAUCACACAAAGGAUUUGUCAAUCACAUACAUUUUCGUGUCGCUGGUUAUCUCGUUGAUGUGUUGGUAGAUACCGCUCACUGUUAUUUAUUUAAAUAGUCAUUAAUAUAAUGCUAAUCGUCAUAAAAACCACAGGUACACACCAAAAAAAAAAAAAAACAAAAAAAAAAAAAAUGGACGAUUGAUGAGACGAUGAGUAACUAAGACACGUAACGCGUAGCCCACACUUAACGUGAAUUGUAGAACAUAUAAAGUACGAGUCUUAAGAUAGAAUAGGAAAUAUGGUAAGUACCACACACUUAAGUGAUUUUGACAUAUCAUAAGAUAUGGCCACAUACACUUAAGUGACCUUUUUAGCUUGCAGCCAUACAAGUGGUUUUAUAAAUAAAACCCUUGUAGCUUAGAAGCAUUUGUGCCAGUUGUUAAUUUCACUUUCUCUCUCUCUCUCUCUCUCUCUCUCUCUCUCUCUCUCUCUCUCUCUUAAAGCCUUCAGUCGUAGCAGCUAGCACUGAGAUUGAAGGAAUCCGUUCAUGUUGACUGAAGUAGAGGCGUUGUUACCAUUCAAAGUUCAUAAUCGCUCCGUAGAUCUGCAUCAAAGGUUCAAUCGUCACAAGACGGUAACAUUCUAUCACGAUCAUGCCCAUCGUAAGGAUCACUAAAGGAAAAUUUUAAAUUCCGCUGCGUUUUGGAAGUCACUCCUUCUCCUUCAGUGGUAUCAGAGCCACUUACAAAACCAUGCAUUUGAUAGUUAUUUAUUUCUCUGUAUUAAUACGAUUAUAAGAUAUAAUGAAUCAAAGAACAAACGAGUAAUUAAAUUUGGCAUCAUGUUGUAUGAUUUGGAGAUGAUGUUGACUAUGCUUCGGAAUCCGAUGUAGUAUGGUGAAGAAAUGAUACAUCGAUCGUCCAUAGGUUACGCAAUUGAGAUCUGUUGUAGAAUACUUUACUGAUAUAUUAAAAAGUGAUUCUUUACAUGUUACAUCUACAUGCUUUAAAUAGAGAGAAUUAGAAAACCUAAUGCGGCUUUGACUAAUGGGCCUCAUUACUAAUAAUAAUACUAUUUACAUCUUAUAUUUAUAAACACUCCCCUCAAGCUGAGUGAAUGGAAUCUCAUCAUUCCCAGCUUGCAACGGUAAGUGCCUGAAUCGUUCUGUUGGUAAGCCUUUUUUAACACAUCUGCGCGAGCUGCCCGCUUCUCUCAUCGCCGGGCCGAGCCCGGAGACGUAGAUGUAGUUUAUCAUCCACUAUCCAACUUCUUUUGAUAAAAUGCUCGGUCAAAUCUCAAUGUGUUUACCUGUCAUGUGAACAGGUAUUAUGACGCAAUUAUAAUAGCCGAUUUAUUGUCCACAAAACAAUUUCACUAGGACCUUACACAUUGAUCUUCAAGUCUUCUAGAAUUUGUUUCAUCCACAAUAGCUCUACCAAAUUCCUGUGAACACUAGCUCUAAUUUGCCUCGGCGCUGAUCGAACCAACUACACUUGGCUUCUACUCUUCCACGCUACAAGUUACCACACGAAAAGUACAAUAGCCUGACUUAGAUCUUUCGUCACGCACUGAUCUGGCAUAAUUCUGCAUCCAGUGUAGUUCCCCAUAGUUAAGAUUUCCACCCUCUUGUUAAACAAAAGUCUUCUCCCUGGAGUGCUUUAAGAUUAGUUGUAAGACGCGUGCUACAACCUGCAAUGUCUCACUCCGGAUCAUAGCAUGCUGAAUUGGCUCACCAUACGGACUGCAUAUGCCAAAUCUGGUCUACGUGGUGCCAAUAAAUAAUUUUCCACUAAUCUCUGAUAUUGACCCUGUUGUUAACUUUUUCACUUUCCUGCCCUUCAAGUUAUCCUGUGAUUUUUGUUCAAUAUGGCGAAAGCAGUAUCAUGUUUGCGGCCACGCCGGGCGGCGAACCCCCGCCCCCCCUCCCCCCCCCCGCGCCGUGACCCACCCAGUUUCUUGCCAAAAGAUCAACCACAUACUUCCUUUAGAAAUAAAUACCUGCCUUGCUUGGAGUAGCUACCUCAAUUACCCAAAAAUACUUAGAUGCCCAAGGUCUUUCAUUCUCAAACUCUUCCGUGUAUUUCUCUUUGAGAAAUGUCUCUCAAUCAAAUCAUACUCCUGUAAUAAUAAUAUCAUCAACAUAAACAAGAAGUACGCAUGUUCUCCUCUUGUAAUGUUAAAAAAUAAUAGUGCGUGGUUCUCCUGACUUGCUAUAGCCCAAAACAUCNNNNNNNNNNNNNNNNNNNNNNNNNAUCUAAUAUAAGCGAACAUGCCGCAUGCAGGCCAAAGUUAACCUCUCCAUCUCAGCCGCCACCAUCUCCGGUUCGUUCUUCCAUCCGUUUUUUUUUUGUUUCCAUGAUUUCCUUUCACUUUGUCUUGUUGAGGAGAAUAUGCUUAAUGUUGAUUGUGGUAAUGAAAAAUUGAUGAGUUUCUUGAGGCCUGCCAGAAUGUUCAUGAAUGCGGACCUGUUGAGUAGACUAGUGCCAUUAUUCGUGAAGCACGCGCAUUCCAGGAGGACAUCUUUCUAGCUUGUAAUCUGUUGUUAUGUGAGAAUCACCUCAGGCUGUGGCAUGGGGAUUCAUUGUUGUACUUCUGAUCAUUGGGAUCUUUGAAACCUAUCGUUUGUUGAUUCUUAGGUUGCUCGUGGUCAGAUAGAGAUGAGAGAGUUGAGUUGAAUGGUUCAACCUUGUGCUCCUUACUUGUGUAGUGUUUGUUUAUUUGCUUUGGGCUAGUGUUGUCUUGCUAGCAGGGUUGCCAUUUCCAAACACAUCAUUGCCUUUGUGAAUCUUCCAAACCAUGCCCGAGGGGACUGCUUUAGUCCAUAUAAGGCUUUCUUCAAUUUACACACCUUGUUAGCUCCAUUUGUUAUGCCAACACCUGGUGGAAUAUCCAUAUACACUUCUUCCUCUAAGUCUCCAUGCAAGAACGCAUUUUUAACAUCAAACUGUUGCAAUUCCCAUCCACAUGAAGCAGCAAGAGAUAGUAAAAUUCAUACAGUAUUCAUCCUUGCCACUGGGGCAAAUGUCUCCUCAUAAUCAAUACCAUACGUCUGAGUAUAACCUUUUGCCACUAGUCUUGCUUUGUUCCGAUCAAGUGUACCAUCAGAUUUGUACUUUACAGUAUAGAUCCAUCUGCAUCCAACUGGACUUUUGUCUAUUUUCCUUUCAAUAAUCUCCCAAGUACCAUUUUUUUCAAGUGCUCUCAUUUCCUCAUCCAUAGCUUGGACCCAAUUUCUAUUUUGCAAUGCUUCUUCAAUAGAUGAUGGGAUUUUCAUAGAAUCAACAACUGCAAUAAAACUUUGAUAUUAUGUAGAAAGAUGUUUAGUGGAGACAUAUUGAGAGAUAGGGUGUCGAUAUAGGGAGGGACAAGAUCUUUUAUCCUUCCUCAAAGCAAUGGGUAAAUCAACUAGAUUAGUGUCACAAGUAUCAGAAAUGGCACAAUCAUCACUAGAGGAAUCAUUUUCAGUACUUACCUCCAGUUCAGGCGAUUGAAUUUGUUUCUGGAGAAGGUCAGGUUUACUUCUUCUCUGAUACACUAGAGUUGGUGCUGGAGGUGUUGAUUCCUGUAAAACAGAAGGCCUUGAAGGACCAGGAACACUUACUGGCUCAGAUUCAGGUGUUGAACUAGGACUCAAACUCAAACUAGGUGACAACUCGGGUUCAAGAGAGGGAACACUGAUAGGUGUUCUAGGGAGGCUAGGACCAAGGAUCAGAAACUCGGACUCAGACUCUGACUCUGACUCUAAGUCACUUAUGUUCUCCCCCUGAGACUGAGAACGAGUGAAAUAUGACACAUUUUCAUGAAAGGUGACAUCUUUGGAGACAAAGAAUUUUCGACUCGGAGGAUGAUAACAUUUGUACCCUCUUUUGUUGGGUGCAUAACCCAGAAAGAUACAUCUGACAGCACGGGGAUCCAAUUUGUUGCGAUAUUGUUUGUGAACAUGAACAAAAGCAACACAACCAAAAAUGCGAGACUCAAGAGUGUGUAAGAUAGGAACAGAUGGAAAACGUGAAAGCAUAAAUUGGGCAGGACUUUUAUUACCUAACACUCGAGAUGGGACCCGGUUAAUCAGAUAGGCAGCAGUAAGAAUUGCCUCACCCCAAUAAGAGGUAGGAACAGACAUUUGAAAAAGGAGAGAUCUAGCAACUUCAAGUAAAUGACGAUUUUUUCUUUCUGCGACACCGUUUUGUUGUGGGGUGUCAACACAUGUGAAUUCAUGGAGAAUGCCAUGUUUACUAGUGAAGUUGGAAAAGGUAUGAUUGACAUAUUCUUUACCAUUGUCAGAACGAAUUCUUUUUAUGCCUUUCCCAAAUUGCGUUUGUACCAUAUUAUAAAAUUGGAUAAAUAUUUGUGGUACUUCGGAUUUAGUAUUCAUCAAGAAAAUCCAAGUUACCCGAGUACAAUCAUCAAUAAAUGAGACAAACCAUUUUGCACCAAAAAUAUUAGAGGUAGGGGCAGGUCCCCAAACAUCAGAAUGAAUCAAAUCAAAAGGUUCAUCACUUUUAUUAAAACUGGAAGGAAAAGAUACACGAUUGUGUUUUGCCAACUGACAAACAUCACACUUAAAAGACUCAACAGAAUGGUGUAAGAACAACGACGGAAACAUAGACUUAAUUAUAUAAAAUGGAGGAUGACCGAGACGCUUGUGCUGAAGCCAAAUUUGUGAGGCUGAAGAGGAAGACUGAGACUGGAAACAGGAGGACAACACCUUUGGAUGGUCAUCAGAGAAGUAGUAUAACCCUUCCUUUUCCUUAGCAAUUCCAAUCGUCUGCCCCGUGGUAAGGUCCUGAAAAACACAAUGGGACAUAGAAAAAAUUACUUUACAAUUCAGAUCACGGGUAAGCUUAUGGAUGGAAAUUAAAUUGUGGGAAAGUGUGGGAACAUGAAGCACAGAUUGCAACUGGAAUGGAGGUUGCAAGUCAAUAUUUCCAGUGCCAACAACACAAGCAUGAGAGCCAUCAGCAACAGUGAUAUAAGGAAUACUCGAAGGUGUGGUAUAAGAGCAUAAUAAUGUGGAAUCAAAUGUCAUAUGAUUAGUAGCACCAGAGUCAAGAAUCCACGCAUUCUUAGGAAUAUUACCACAAACAGUAAGAGAUCGGGAACACAAACUCUUACCAGUAACUGCUAGAGACCCAGAACCAGAAGGCUUACUCAUGGAGUCAAGCAUAGACUUCAACCGUUCCACAUCAUUCUGACUGAAGGAGGAAAGAUCAGUUCCCCUCUUUUCAAAGCUUUCAGUAUCCUGGACAUGUGUAGCAACAUGUGCCUGAUACUGGUGCAUGUUGCGAGAACCGCCACCUCGGCUAAGAACCUGCUCCCUCCCAUGAAGUUUGAAACACCUAUCCUUUGUAUGCCCUGAUCGGUUGCAAUGCUCACAAUAGAAUUUGUCACGAACAUUCUUGGAUGAUGAUGGUGGUGGUCCUUGUCUUGUUGUUUUGCUAGCUACUAAUGCUGACACAUCCGGGGGCUGUUCAUGAAGCAUAGCUUGACGACGGGUUUCCUCACUACGGACAGUGUAAAAAACUUCAUUAAGAUCAGGAAAUUUUUCCUUACCCAAAAUCUGCACCCGAAUAGGGUCAAAUUCAGCAUUAAGGCCUGCUAGGAAAUCAAAGAUCCUAUCCCGCUCAACAACAGUAUUCAAGGUGGCAGUAUCCUUGCUGCACUCCAUCUUCAAAUUCUGAUACUGAUCCAACUCAAUCCAAAAACCAUUGAGAACUCCAAAAUACUCAGUGAUCGAAAGAUUUCCCUGCUUAGUGUUGAAGAUUUUCCUCUUUAAAUCAUAACAAGCAGACAUAUCUUGUUUCAUGGAAUAACUGCGACGAAGAUACUCCCAAACUGCCUUUGCACUUGAGAGAUACAUGCAAUUUCUACUAAUUUCUGGAGAUAUGGAGUUCCAAAGCCAAGUAAUAAUAGCAGAAUCAUCUUUAUCCCAGGAAGGGAAGUUAGGAGCAGUAACCAGAGGAGGAUUUCCUUCAAUAUGAUCAAGCAUGUCGCAACAUUUUAGAGUGUGUCUGAUGAACUGAGACCAUUGAAAAUAAUUUUUGCCGGUAAGCCAAUAACCUUUUUGAACGACAAAAUCCUUAGCAUUAAAUGGGGCUGGUGGAUUUGUGGGAGGUGGAGGUGGAGGUGGAGGUGGAGGUGGUUGAUCGUUAAUAAUCUCAGCCAUUGAAAGGACAAUCGAGAGAAAACAAACCAAGAAACAGGAUGGGUUAGGGUUUCAAAGAUGAGUGAACAAAAACAAGAAGCACGCAAAACAACAAUGACCCAAACACCCAAAAACAACAACAAACUGCAAACUGCAGUAAAAAAAAAAUCCGCUACAAGGCGGCUAGGGUUUAGGCGGAAGCGAAUCCCCCAAAAUCGGGAGCUCUUGAUACCAUGUUGUAAAAUAUUUUACUGAUAUAUUAAAAAGUGAUUCUUACAUGUUACAUCUACAUGCUUUAAAUAAGAGAGAAUAGAAAACCUAAUGGGCUUUGACUAAUGGGCCUCAUUACUAAUAGAAAUAAUUACUAUUUACAAUCUAAUAUUUACAACAAGAUCAAUCAAGUUAUAUAUAUAUGAUAUAAGUAAUCCUGAUGAAAAAUACAGUAUAUAUGAUAUACUAUUUCUGUUUCGUUCAUUCAUACACUUAAUGGUUAUUUUCCUUUGAGCGAUCAAUGGUAAUUUGCUUCUUGAUCCGACAUUAGUAUGGUGAAGCAAUGACGAGUUGAUCAAUCAUACUGAAUUAAUAAUCGAGGUAUGUUUAAUGGUUUGGAAUUGGUGCAUUAGGGUUCAUGACGGCACAAGGAUUGUGCUGCCAAAGAGUUAUGCGAUUAGGAUUGUGACUGCGCAAGAGUUGUGCUUUAAAGUAUCAAGUGUUGAUGCAAAAAACGACGUCGAUUUCAAAUGAAUUGUUCAUUAACAUUUUGCGUCGGGGUGCUGCCCCUAACAAUCCCGUAAGGGGGUGCUGCCCUCUUGACCCUCGUCCGCUUACAUGUCAGCGGAACCCCCGGCUAACUCUGCGUAGUGUGAUCGGUCGCCGAAAUUUAAUUUGGUUUUAAUUAAUUAACAUAAUUUAAAUUAAUAAUAAUAAUGUGUUUAUUAUUAUUGUCUUGUGGUGAUCGGUUAUGGCCUUAGUUUUCCUUUAUUUUGUUUUGGGAUUUUAAAAUACGACCUGCGAUCGUGUCUCUCUUUUAAUCUCUUAAUGUAACUUCUUUUCUCAUCUCACUCCCUCGUAUGUAAAACAAGUUUCUUUUAUGUAAUGUAAUGUUAUGAAGAAAGAGAAGAAUACAAUAUCAAAGGAGGACAACCUUGAAGAUCUUGCUUGGAGAAGCUUAGAUUAUUAUUAGGUCAACUUAGGUUCUCUCAUUGGCUUGGGAGAACAAUUGCGCUAAGGGCCAUAAUUGUUUCAUUAUGUAUGUUGAUGCAUGUGAGAGACGAUUUAUAUGAUAAAUAAGCCGGUGAGAUCAAAAUAAUUGCAAAUUUUCUCAAAUUAAAUAUUAAGUUUAUGCUUUCCAAGUUUUAGCACUCAUCAAGACUAAUAUCGAAUAAUGUAGGUUUCGUCUAUGCGAGGUGCAUAUUCUAUAUUAGUAAGGUGCGAUGGGAUAAUUGUAAUAUCCAAUUGCUAAAACAAUUGGUCAAACUUAACUAAACAAAUUAUAAUAAGAUUAUAUAUGUUUAGAAGCAAUAGUUGGAAAUGAUCCAUAUGAUGGAUUGGAAUAAGGAGUUAUUCAUCCAACUAAAAUAUUCGAGAGUUGUAUUAGAUACAAUUGGAAGGAGUUCCUACCUAAAUAACCUAGUUUUGUGUAAUCCGCCUACGCGGACUUAAAACAAAGUGAGGGUCAUUUGUUUUGAGUAAAAUAGUGGGAGCAUAUUUAAUUAAAGGCCUAAUUAAAUAUGUUAUUGAUACUUAUACUUUCAUUAUUUUCAUGUAGAUUACCAUGACAACAAACACCUCUAACAACAUUUUGCGAUUAAUCCUUGACAAGGAAAAAUUGUCUGGGACAAAUUUUUUGGAUUGGCACGAAAUCUGAGGAUUGUCCUCAAACAUGAUAGAAAGUUGUAUGUCUUGGAGAAACCUGUUCCUGAAGAGGAACCUCCUAGUUCUGCACCUAAGGCAUAAAAAGAUGCUUAUAAGAAGCAUGUCGAUGAUGCCAAUGAAACUGCUUACCUCAUGCUAGUGUUAGGGACCAAUUAGUACUAAUUUUCAUAUAAUUUUAUUGGUCCCUUUUACUAAUUUUUGAUUUAAUUACACACUUUUAUUCUCACAAUUUUGUAUAAAUGCAAUUAAGUUUAAUUGAUUUUGUUUUGAGUAGUUAUUUCACGUAUUUGUUAGUUUUGUAGAGUUUUUGGACAAGAGAGAUUUAAUUGAUUUUGUUUUGAGUAGUUAUUUCACGUAUUUGUUAGUUUUGUAGAGUUUUUGGACAAGAGAGCAUCGGAGUGCAUAAGCAUAAUCUAGAAGAAGUGUCAAUGGCAAUUUGGAGGCAUAAAUUGGAAGACUAACACUUGGGAGAAUUAUUACAUGAAGCUUGCAAGGCAAGGAAGCUGAGUUAGCUUCAGUUCGCGCCGCGACCAGGGAUGGCGCCGCGAACCUUGCGAAACCAGCAAGCAGUUUGUUGGGCCAAGUGUUCUGUUUUCAAGCCAGCUGUAUUGUGACAGUUUUGUAUCUAUUUUAGAGUGUUUUUCAGUUUUAGAUGAAAAUGAACAUUUUAGGAAAGGUUCAACUCUUUAAGAAAACAGAAUGGAAAAUAGAAAAACAUUCAUUCCUAGAUACACAUAUUGUAAGAGAAAAACAAAGUUUAUUUUACCAUUGCAUUUUGCUGUCCAAAAUGAUGAUGAGGAGCUAAACCCCAUUUUGUCAAGAUUGGAGGUAGUAGCUAUUCCUAUUUGUUUAUGUAUUUCAUUUGACUCUUGUAUAUGACAAAGGGUUAUUGAUGUUGAAUGAUAUUUUUGCCCUAAGUUGAAUAUUUAGAUUUGAGUAGUUGUUGAGAAAGAUUAUUCAAGUCUUGACUUAAAAUAUACUUUCAAGUAAUGAAUGAGUUGUAGAAAUAGAUUUAUACACUACUCUUCUUUUGUAUCAAACAUUAAAGAUUUCUAUAUUGAUAGUUAGGUAGAGAAAUCAUUUAACCAUUAAUAUAAUGAUUAUCACAAUAUCAUUUAGAGAUAAAUGAUAUUGAGAGGAUACUUGAAUAUCAUCAAUAAUCUUAAGUCUAUAUAGUUGUCAUAAGGAAUCAUAAGCAAUUUGAAUAGUGAAGCUAACAAUCUGCCAAGCCUUUUAAGUUAUUAAAACGUAUUUUAUUGUUUUAGGUGACAUUUACUUCAAAAGAAUUUUCAAACAAAACAACUUGGUUACAAUUUGAGACUUAUAACAAUUUGGAUUAUAGAACAAGAAAGCGGUAAUAACACCAAUCUCUGUGGAUACGAUAUUAAAAUAUUUUUCCGAAUAAUAUAAACUUUCAACAAAUGCGCCAGUUGUCGGGAUUGGUGUCGAUUAUUAACAGUCAUGCAACUAAUUCAUUGUUCUAAGUUUUGUAGUACUAUCAUCUUGUGUUUCCACUUGGUUGUAGUUUUGUAGAUCUAGUGCAUGCGAGGAAAAGCUACCGAGGAGAAAUUUCAAUUACGAUCCCGAAAAUUGAAAGAAGACUUCGAAAGCUCAAUAGCAAAACACGAAGAAGAAGGAAACUAGCCGAAGAGAGGAACCGGAGAGAGGAAGUAUCUACUUCUUCACUUGUUCAAAUCGAAGAAGUGGUUGUAGAGACUUUUCAAGGAAACAUGGCGGAUGAUACUCCUACCGAAAUGUCCGCUAAUAGUCCAAGAAGGAAUGCUCAAUUUGCUCGUGGUGGAAGGAAUACGGAGAUGAAGACCAGAAUCCUCCAACUCCUUUAUGCAAAUCCAUUCACCAGAAUGGACCAUGAAGAUCCGUAUACCCAUCUCAUCAAAUUCUAUGAGAUUGCGGGUUCUACGGGAAUAGACGAAACGGGUGAAGAAGCAUUAUUCAAGAGGAUAUUCCCACACUCCUUAAUAGGAAAGGCAAAAAAGUGGUACCUUGAUCAAGCACCAAGAGUGAUGAAGGAUUGGAAUUUGUUAGAAGAAAAGUUUCUAGAAAGAUAUUUUCCUCAAUCUCGAUUCAUGGAAGCCAAAACGGCUAUUGCGGUAUUCACUCAAGGAAGUAACGAGUCCCUAAUGAGGCUUGGGAAAGAUUCAAGUCAAUGUUGAGAAAAUGCAAAGGCCAUGGUUUUGAUGAGCUCACUCAAAUCCAUAUUUUUCUAAAUGGGAUCCAAUCAACUCACAAGACACUUUUGGAUGCUAUCGCAGGUGGCUCUCUUAUGUCAAAGAAUACGGAAGAAGCAAAAGUCAUUAUUGACCGGAUGGCACUCAAUGAUCGUCAAAGUCAACACGACCGUAGUCCUUCACAACGGAAACCGGGAGUUCUUGAGUUAAAUACCAAUGAUGUCAUUCUUGCUCAAAACAAACUACUUUCUCAACAAGUGGAAUUGCUCACGCAACAAAUCUCCAAACUCCCACAACAGAUGAAGGAACUUCAAGGGUCUCAAGUUAGACAUCAAGUAGCAUGUUGUGAAUUAUGUCAAGGAGAUCAUCCAACCGGUUUUUGUCCUCCAUUAGAAGAAGUGAGUUAUGUGAACAAUCAAAAUCAAGGCUAUCAAAGACAAACUCCACCUUACAACAACUCAUAUCUAAGAAACAAUCAAGGUUAUCAACCAUCAAGGUUCAACAACCAAAAUUUUCAGCAACAAAGUCCUUAUCAACACCCAAAUUCUCAAGGACAACAAUUGCAAGGAGGAAAUUCAAAGCUAGAGGAUACUCUUCAACAAUUCAUGCAAGCCUCCAUGGCUAACCAAAAGAGCAACGAGGCAACAAUCAAGAAUUUGGAGAAUCAAGUAGGCCAACUUGCGAAGCAAUUGUCUGAACAAAAUGCGGGAUCUUCAUUCUCCGCUAACACUCAAACCAAUCCAAAGGAGCAUUGUAAAGAAAUUGUUACGAGAAGUGGUAAAGAGUUGACAAGUGGAAAAAGUGAGGAUAUUACAGUAGAGAAUGAUAUGGAUGUUGUGCAUGAAAAUAAGGAUGUGGAUUGUGAAAAGGAGAAAGUGGCAGAAACUGUUCAGUUCACACCGCGAUCUCCCUUCGCGUCGCGAAAAGAGCAGAACCAGCAACUGACAGCAGAGCAGCAGGUUAAAGUGGAACUGAAGAAGGAAGUCGAGUCAAGAAAGAAAAAGAAAGGAGACAAAGGUGUGAGUGUCAUUCCAGCUCAACAUCUAUCUUAUCCGCACGCACCAUCAAAGAAGGACAAUGCUAGACACUAUGCAUGGUUUAUGGACAUAUUCAAACAACUUCAAAUAAAUAUUCCAUUUGCCGACGCAUUAGAGCAAAUGCCACGGUAUGCAAAGUUCAUGAAGGAUAUUCUCACAAAGAAAAGGAGAUAUGUGGAAGACGAGACAAUCUUGCUUGAUGCACGUUGUAGUGCCAUAAUCCAAAAAACUCUCCCAACGAAGGAAUCCGAUCCGGGCCGAGUCGUUUUACCGGUAACCAUUGGAGGCACCUACAUUGGUAAUGGUUUGCUUGACUUGGGAUCUAGCAUCAAUUUAAUCCCCCUAUCCAUUGUUAAAAGAUUGGGAAAUGUUGAGAUUAAAUCUAUAAGGAUGACUUUACAACUAGCCGAUAAGUCUACCACUUCACCAUAUGGAGUUGCUCAAGAUAUGCUAGUGAAGGUGGACAAAUUCUUGUUUCCAGUAGACUUCGUGAUAGUGGAGAUGGAUGAGGAUCGUGAUGUUCCUUUAAUUCUUGGAAGACCAUUCAUGAAAACAACCCGAAUGAUGAUUGACAUUGAUGAUGGAUUAAUGAAAGUAAGAGUGCAAGAUGAAGAGGUAACUUUCAAUCUUUUUGAAGCUAUGAAGCAUCAUAAUGACAAACAUGAUUCUUUCCGAAUCGAUGCCACCGAGGAGGAAAUAGUGGAGGUCGCAAACCAAGUUCAUGUUUCUAAUUCAUUAGAGAGAUCUCUUAUCGGAGCCUACAAUGUUUUGACCGAAAAUGAAGAAAAAGAGAUUGGAGCAAUGUUGCAUGAAUUAGAGUCUUGUGGAUAGCUUGCUUAUCAUAAAGAGACAAAUGAAGAUUUGGAUGUGACAAAGAAAGUGGAAGAACCAAAACUAGAGUUGAAAAUGAUACCUUCAUACUUGAAGUAUGUGUUCCUUGGUGAUGAUUGUACUAAAUCGGUGAUCAUUAGCAAUACCUUGUCCACAAAAGAGGAGCAUAACUUGAUACAAGUGCUGAAAAAGAAUGAAGGUGCAAUAGGGUGGGUAUUAUCCGACUUGAAGGGUAUUAGUCCAGCCUAUUGUAUGCAUAAGAUUAUGAUGGAAGAAAACUUCAAACUCGUUGCACAACCUCAAAGGCGCUUAAAUCCAUCAACGAAAGAAGUAGUUCGAAAAGAAGUUGUCAAACUCUUGGAAGCCGAAAUGAUUUAUCCUAUCUCCGACAGUGAAUGGGUGAGUCCGGUGCAAGUAGUCCCAAAAAAAGGUGGCAUGACGGUUAUCAAAAAUGAUAAAAAUGAGUUGAUUCCAACUAGAACGGUAACCGGGUGAAGGAUGUGUAUUGACUAUAGAAGGCUAAACCAAGCUACAAGGAAAGAUCACUUCCCACUACCUUUCAUGGACCAAAUGUUGGAAAGGUUGGCCGACAAAAAAAUUCUAUUGUUUCUUGGAUGGUUAUUCGGGUUACAACCAAAUUUCGGUCAAUCCGACGGAUCAUGAGAAGACGGCUUUUACAUGUCCUUUCGACAUCUUUGCUUACCUAAGAAUGCCUUUUGGGUUAUGUAAUGCACCGACAACAUUUCAACGGUGUAUGCAAGCGAUAUUCUCAGAUUUGAUCGAAGAAUGCAUUAAGGUGUUCAUGGAUGAUUUCUCCGUUUAUGGAUCAUCUUUUGAUUUAUGCUUGAAACAUCUUGAUGUGGUUUUGGGAAGAUGUGUGGAAACCAACUUAGUGCUCAAUUGAGAGAAAUGCAACUUUAUGGUCACCGAAGGUGUUGUUCUCGGUCAUAAAAUCUCCUCCAAGGGCUAGAAGUUGAUAGAGCAAAGGUGGAAGUCAUUGAAAAAUUACCACCUCCAACAAAUAUAAAAGGAAUAAGGAGCUUUCUCGGACAUGCCGACUUUUAUCGGAGAUUCAUCAAGGAUUUCUCAAAGAUAGCAAAACCCUUGAGUAAUUUGCUCAACAAAGGUACGCAAUUUCUUUUCGAUGAGUCGUGUCUAAAAGCUUUCCUUGAUUUGAAAGAAAAGUUAGUCACCGUACCCAUAAUCGUUGCACCAAAUUGGACACUUGAUUUUGAACUUAUGUGUGAUGCAAGCGAUUAUGCAGUUGGUGCGGUUUUGGGUCAAAGAAGAGAUACAAAAUUUCAUGUUAUCCACUAUGCUAGUAAAGUUUUAAAUGAGGCGCAAGUCAAUUAUGCAACAACCGAAAAAGAAUUACUAGCCAUAGUGUAUGCAUUGGAAAAGUUUAGAGCUUACUUGAUAGGGUCUAAAGUUGUAGUUUACACCGACCAUUCGGCGAUCAAGUCUUUGCUAACCAAGUCGGAUUCCAAACAAAGAUUAAUUCUUUGGAUUUUGUUAUUACAAGAAUUUGAUUUGGGAAUCCGGGAUAAAAAAGGUUCCGAAAACUUGGUAGCGGAUCAUUUGUCUCGUUUGGUAAUAUGGAAAUUACUAACAAAGAAGAGGAAGUAAGAGAAGAAUUUCCGGAUGAAAAACUUUAUGCGAUUCAAGUGAGGCCUUGGUUUGCCGAUUUUGCUAAUUACAAGGCAACCGGUUUAACACUGGAAGACCUCACUAGUAAACAAAGAAGGAAAUUCUUGGCGGAUGCAAAAUACUAUGUUUGGGAUUAUCCGUAUUUGUUUAAAGUGGGUGUGGACAAUAUUUUGAGAAGGUGUGUAACACUUGAGGAGUCAAAAGACAUCCUUUGGCAUUGUCAUAACUCUCCGUAUGGAGGUCACUAUAGUGGUUUGAGAACGGCCACUAAAGUGCUCCAAGCGGACUUUUAUUGGCCGUCUUUGUUUAAAGAUGCAUAUGAACACGCGAAGAGUUGUGACACAUGCCAACGAAGUGGAGGAAUAGGCAAAUAGAAUGAAAUGCCUCUAACCAACAUGUUAGAAGUAGAAGUUUUUGAUUGUUGGGGUAUUGAUUUCGUUGGCCCAUUCCCCUCUUCCUUCUCAAAUGAGUAUAUCCUCGUGGCCGUUGACUAUGUUUCGAAAACCAACAUGUUAGAAGUAGAAGUUUUUGAUUGUUGGGGUAUUGAUUUCGUUGGCCCAUUCCCCUCUUCCUUCUCAAAUGAGUAUAUCCUCGUGGCCGUUGACUAUGUUUCGAAGUGGGUGGAAGCCAUUGCUUCACCUAAGGCCGAUGCCAAAACGGUGAUAAUUUUUUUAAAGAAAAACAUAU